UUUUUUUUUUUUGUUUUGGACUAAAGGUUACCAAAUCUCUCUAAUGUUCUGAUACCUUCAUCAAGAUUGAUGACAUUACAAUACUUUUAUCAAAGUAUACAUCUCCCACGAGUUUGCUAAAGUUUUAUUUUUCGUGGUUAAACUCCAUUAUAGAUUUUUAUAUGAAUCCAUUUUCCAUAGGACCCUUUUGACUCUUCCAGCUAUUGUGUGAUUAUUGCCUCGAUGCCCUCGAUGUUUACCAUGGGAUGGACCUUAUUGCGUAUCUUCACUUUCAAUGUGUAAGCCUGAAAAAUCUCAUCAACUUAAAGUUUACAGCAUAUAUAACAACAAUCCUCAACAAAACACCAAUAUAAAAUACUAUACAAUAAACAGCAAAUUUCGGAUUCAUAAUUUGGUAGAAGACAUAAAAAUGUACGCAUACUCGUUGAUUCUAACUUAUAACAAGCAUAACAGUGCUUUAAAUAAUAAUCAACAAUCAUUAACCAAGAUGUUUCGCUACUUUAAAUUUUCAAAACUCAAUAGGAAACGAGUAGUUCGUAAAUUUUUUAACGCGAUAAAGAAAUAUUUAUUUAAUUUUAUUUAACUGAAAAGUUAGAGAGCUAAAUAAAAUGUCACGUUGGAUGUUGAUCAUUGGGUGUACUCAAGAUGGUUGAUGGUGUGAAUUGAGACAAAUACAGGUCAAGGAGAGCCCGUCCUCUUGGUUGAUCGGCGGGAGUGGGGCAAUUGCCUGCAAAUGCAUAUGAUCAUAACAAUUGAUCUUAAUUUUUCACAUAAAAAAAAGUCCAAGUCAUAAUUGGACUUCCAAUCAUUACGUAGCAUAAAAUGAAUAAUUAUCUCUUGUUUGUACAUGGGAGUGCAUGCAUAUGGUUUAAACUACCAUGAGUUGGAUAGCCAGAAUGAAAGACAUUACAAGAAUCAAUCUGAGCUUUGUAUAGUUGCUACGACUUAGAACAUUUGGUAAGGUACAGGUAGGUGAAUGUAAUAAGCCACUUCUUUCAUAUUCAUCAUUGAUUGCUCUUGUUUUGUAUGGAUGUGCAUGCAUAUUAUUAAACUACCACGAGUUUCAAUCACAGGACUGAAGGACACUCCAAGAACUAAUCUAAAAGUUGCCACUUCGGCCUUGGUCGGAGUGGUGGGCUGCUGCCCUCACAAUGCUUGUGAGGGCAGCGGUUCAAGCCCCCACAAAAGUAUUUGUGGGGGUUAACGUGCUUAUUUGUUUAAUAUUUCAAAAAUUUCCUCUCCCUCGUGCAAUACGAGUGGAGUAUGGACAUCCCUCUUUUAUAAGGGAUUAUUUGUCUGGGUAUGUACUUCACAAAUUCAAUGUAAUAAUAUAAGUCCCAAUCAUGUAUUUCUGAUUGUAAAUAUCAGUGUAAUAUAUCUGCUAUAAUAGUAGUUGUAAAUAUCUGUGUAAUGCAGUAAUAUGAUGAUUAAUCAGUAUUCAAAAAAAAAAAAAAGAACUAAUCUAAAAGUUGAUUGCUAUAUUUGAUUCUUCACUUGGAACAAUUGGUAAAAUGUGCGAAUGUAAUAAAGUGGUGAAAAAUGAAUGGUAGUAAAGCCACAUGCAAUCUCAAUUAAUAAGUUAUGGAUAGGAUAAGACUAUAAAUCGUUAAAGUUAGCUAGGAUAAGUAAUUAAAGAAUCCUCCCACAUGAUAAUUACUGUUAUCUCAUUAAUACUCAACAACUCCCAACGAUCUUAUCAAUUUCACCUUUCCACGACCCUGUCAAUCACACCUUUUCAGAGUAUUACUUUCAGUCAAAACACCAAUCAAAUGCAAACAACAAAAAUUAUAUCUAUACUUUUAUGAGAUAUACCCACGAUCUUUCCCUAAAUGAUUCAACAACCCAAUUCGCUUUCAUUAUUUACUUGGAUGAAGGCAUAAGAAUCUAGCUCAAUGUGUGUGUGUGUGUGUGUGUAUUAAACAGGUGUCUCUAAAUUUAUAUGAAGCCAUUUCCAUUACAUUCAUUUGUGAUUGCUCCCGUUUACGUACAAAUGGGGGUUCUAUAUAUAUAUAUAUAUAUAUAGUGAUAAACCAGAUUAACGGAGACUAUAAGAAAUAAUUAAUACCUGAAGGAUAAAAUUCAGUCCAUGGGGAAAAGUUGACGUCAAUUACUUGUCCAAAUUGAGGACGUUGCAUAUCAUUAUUGUCGUCCUCUAAACCAUCUCUUCGGCUUAUUUGACCAUCAAUAUUCAUAUUGUGUCCCCGGAACAUAUUUAAAGGUGGCACCAAUAUUUCUGUUGCCUCUUGAGGCUCAUCACUGCAAAGCGGAAUUGAAAUUAAUUGCAUAAAAGGGCAGUGAAGCAUUGUAAUAGUAUGUUUUUAAACCAAUUCCAGAAGAAAAUAAUAUAUAUAUAUAUAAGAAUGAAGCACCUAACGGGAAGGAGGCCAUUUGAAUCCAAAAUGUUAAGAUUAUGAACUUGUGAGUCUCUAUGUGGAAGCCAUUCCAAGAUAUUGUUUGGACUUUCUGUAACAAAUCCGUUCAUAUGAUCUGACGUUUCGGCUGGAGGAAGGUGUGCCUAGUUGCAUUGGCAGCAACUAACUUCAUGUUAUGUUACCAUUAUUAUGAAAGCAUACAUCAUUUCAGAUACAUACCUGCGAAGUAGCUGGCGUGCUAGACGAAUUACAAAUUUCCUCCAAAAGAUGCUGCUACAAAUUUCAUAAGCUCCAAUCACAUAUAUAUUUAUGUUCUCCAGCCAAAAUAUAAUUCAAACGAGGAGUUAUAUAUUUAUAUCUUAAAUCUUAAUUGCACCUUGCGUAUGCGAACUUGUUUCAAAGUUUCCUCGAGGAUUUGCUCCCGGUGCUUGAUCUCGUACAAUGUUGUCAUUUCAGACGGAUCUUCCUCAAAUAUCCUGGAAAUUUUUAUGCAUAUUAAGGUUAGGAUUUCUAAAUUGAAACUGUGCAAAGAUUAGAGAAUAGAUAUACCUGAGACGUUUCUCCAUGUUCUGUAUUUGGGAUUUACACUUGACGAUUUCUUGUUGAACUUCCUGAAUUUUGGAUGAAGUGGGUUUCAUCAUAAUAACUAAAAAGCCGCAGAUAAACGAUUACAGAUAGCUGGAUGGAACUAGAUUUUCAUUCUUAAAAUACCUCAAGGUGAGAAUCAGUAUUCGUAGUUGGGUUGCUUUGCAUAAAGAAAAAGGAAGGUUAGAAAGUGGAGGCAGAAAUAAAAGUUGCAUCAAGAGGAGGGGCAGAAUCCGAACCUCGUUGCUUGAUAAGUUUGGUUGGCCUCACUUCUUAACUUGCCGAGAGCCCUUUGUAGAAACUGCAAAUAAAGUGCAAUUACUGGAUCAUCAUCUCGUACAAAUUCAUACGGCAGGCUUUAAAUUAGAUCAGACACUGACAAGGCUCCUGGCUUACCUCUUGAUUACGCAGUCUUCAAGACAGAGAUGCAUGUAUAGCACCAAAUCAAGGAGAAGAACAUGCAUCAGAACAAAUUAACUGAACAAAUUGAAACCAGAUAUAUGUGAGAUACCCCAAGUACUUACCGUCCUCGCUCAUGUUCGGGAAGAUUGACAUACCUUGCCAGAAUCUCCUCCAUGCUUUUUAACAAUUAAUACACCAAAAAGAAGCUAUUUUAGGUUAGUUAAAAAAAAAAAAUUAUAAUUCUGAAAUGAUGAAGUGGGUACCGAGCUCACCUUUUGUUUCCAGAGAAGAGGCUGACUCUUCCAGAAGGGGAGAACAUGAUGAGAGCCACAUCAACAUCACAGAGGACAGAAAGUUCAUAAGCUUUCUUGACAAGCCCAUUUCUCCUUUUUGAGAAAGUGACCUGCCUAUUUGUUGUGUUCUCAAUCCUCUUGAUCUGCACCUUCACUCUUCCCAUAUCUCUUUCUUGUUUUAGCAAAAUCUAUGGUCUAUACGCUUGAAUUAAUUUCAAUUUUCAAGAUGACACAAUAGCUAGUGAGGAAAAGGUACACAAAUAAAUCUUGUACUCUCCGCAUAUAUACGCGCUCAAACACACACACACACACACAAGAGAUUAUAUUUAAUGAGAAAAUAAGGGAGCAAAGAAGGAAGAAAAACGUGAUGUACUCUUGUCACCAUCAGGCGAAUUAAAGAAGAUGACAUGAGAGAGAAAGCGGUGUAUGGCGGAAUUUGGGUUAUUGGGAGCGGCGUUGAAUGUAUAAACGUAAGUGUCAAAAUAUAUAAAGAGAGAGAGAGAGAGAUGAGAUGAUUCGUGAAUGUUUUUCUUUUCUUUGCUUUAUUCGCAUUUAUUUCUUCUUUAUACUAUUAGAGUCGAUUAGGCACACUAUAUUAUCAUCACAUUAGGACUUGCGUAAUCUCGUAUAUCCUCAAAUUGGGAAGUUGAAUCAGCAGCGGCACUAAUACUUCAUGACUUAUCUUGAACUCUUCGACCAAUUUGUGAAAAAUUUCGAGUAUAUUUUUAAUUCCUUUCAUUCGAUUCUUAAUUUCAUGUGAACUUUGUAACUAAUCAUGCAUGCAACCAAAUGCUUGUUUCUAGAAAGAUCUUUUAGUCAAAAUAUCAGUAAGUUAUUCUACUUAAACAUGAGUGGAGCUGAACUGGAAAGAGUUUGAAUGUUGUCAAAUUAAAUAUCAGUAAUGAUAUACUUAAAAUACAUGGAGCAGGUUUCAAAUGCCUAAAUUAAUAAAAAUACAUUUUAAUAUAGUCAAAAAUAUCUGUAAGGUCAUUUUGUCUUAAACAGAGUAGGAUUGAGAUGUUAAAAUUACUAAAAUAGUGGGGAUCAUAACUUUCCAGAUUAUUGAAAAGACAUAAAUAUCUCCAUUUUAAAAUAUAAUAGGAUUGAAGUACCAAAAUUAUUGAGAAGACAUUUUAGUAUAGUUAAAAUAUUAAUUAAUAACCUUACUUUUACCUUAAACAAAGUAGGUAAAUUGAGAAAGUCUAACCUGUCGAAACUAUUGAAAGAUUUAAAUAUCUCAAUCAUUAUAUUUAAAAGUCUCAAAUAAGGAAAUGCUUGUGAAAAUCAAAGGAAUAUAUACAAUAAGCCAAGAAACCAGCAGAAUCAUGAUUUAUUAAGCACAGAGAGAAUGUAUGUCGCAGCUAAUCCCAAAUAAGGAUUAUCACAUUUGCUUUGCAUCCUCAAAAUGAACAUAGAUAAUUAGAUUUCAAAUAGGUAAUACCAAAAAAUCGAUGCCAAAUUCGAAAUCUCACAAAAGGGUAGGUGUUGAAUCUUGAACCAGUUGUAUAUACAUAUAUAACGGAGCGAUUCAUGCAUAGCACGGAUCCUAGAGGAGUGAAGAGACACAGAUGAGAAGUUGAGAACAAGAACAAGCAAAUAAGUUGUCUUUUUCAAUUUGAUGUGUUCGAGGUUAACAAGAGAUACGGCUGGGAGUGGAGUGGGUCGGUCCCAGAAAGCACGUGGGUUUUGUACUUUCAGUUAUGUCUUCCUCGAUUGACUACCCCACCCACCGCUGAAGUUAAAGCUACAAAUCGCAACGUGUCAUUAGCUUCUCGUUUCCUUCGAACUCGAACCCAUCGAUUCUGCAUGCUCUCACUCCCCCAAGGACAACAAACACAAGGGGCUCCACCAGCUUGACUGAGGUUCUUGUUUCGCUCGUAAUCUUGUGCUCUCUUCUCUUAUCGGUUUUGUUGCUUGUGCUGUUAUGCAACUAAUUAUGCAUUUUACCAGAGUUCCACGUAUAUCAGGAGAUUCAAGACAUGCAUAAUCCUUCUUCCAUGAGAUUCCCAGAGCAGAGACCUAAGAAACAUGUACUAAACCUUGAAAUCCCAUUUUCCUUUUAUUCCAAUUUCCCGUUGAUUUUUCCAAUUCAUUAUUUACUGAAGUGAUCUGAAGCGGAGUAAAAGAAACUCACUUGUCUUGCUAUUGUUAUUUGGGCUCGUGUAAAGCUGGGUCUAACGAGAAGCUUUUGUAUCCGCUGGGUACCGUUUUGUUACAAAUAUAUUAUGCUAAAAAUGAUAAUAGUAAUAAAUACUCGAUCUAAUAUUUAAAAACUAUACAAGGCCAAGAAGAAGAUCAACGUGAAUGAAAGAUGUGAAAAUAUUGGUGUAUUACGUUUAGCCACUGAGGUUAUAAUAAUUGCGUAAAUUAUUAUUUUUAUUGCACAUAAACCAAUAAGGGAAAUGGAAUUAUCAUAACUCAUGAUUAAGGUUUUAUUUGGUAUUGAGAUAUUGUACUUUUUUUCUAUUGAGAAAGAAUUGUAACCGUUAAAUAAAAAUUAUUAUUGUGUAGCAAGUAUGACCUUAUAUAAUAAUUGUAAUAAAAACAUUAAAAAUGUUACAAGUUUUCCAUCGUAACAUUAGUUGAUCAAAUCAACUUAACUCCUAAAAUACAAUAACUAAUGUUUACAAAAUAUUCUAUUACUAUAAUUUUUAAAAUAACUACCAAAACUCAACAUCGAACUUCAGAAUUAAAAAAUGUAUGGCAACUGGCUGGGCCAAGAUUGAAAUUUUGCGGCCCAUAUAAUUCUUCUUUCUUGUCCUUGAUGGUUUGAUAUCCGAAAGUUGUCCCUAAAAAUGAAACCGCUUCUUUCAUAUUCAUCAUUGAUGGCUCUUGACUGUCGGAAUCUGCAUGCAUAUGACUGAACUACCGUGAGUCGAAAAUAACAAGAUAAUGAAGCAAUAGAGCAUGAGUUGUUGCAGGCAUUGAAGCAAUUUUUGGUGACGUCCAAAUGCCAUGAUUUCUCAACCUCAUUGCUAUACCUUGUAACAAUACAUGCUCUAUUGCUUAGCCAACAAUCUAAUAAGGUUUGAAUUGUACUAAUGCCAAAAGUUGAUGCAAAAUUUCGAAAUCUUAAAGAGUUAUUGAAGCUUUUCUAUUUUCACGUACUGAUACAUGCAUGCAUGUAUCUUGAGGGUAAAAAAGACUUAGAUGAUUAGAAUAAUUUAAAGAAAUAUAAAAUGAAAGAAGAUGCAAUAACACCGAUAGAAUUAUCAACCAACUAAUUUAAUAAAUGGAGUAGCAGUAUGCAACAAGUGGGUUGGAUUUAACACCGCCUUUAAUAAUGUGUGGGCCUGUAGGCCCUUCGUGAUGGGCUUUAGAUCCAUGACCAUGGAAGAAUGAGAGCGGAGCUCCUGACACCCAUCAACAACUCCAAAUGAAGCUCCCAUUUUUACUUGUGUAGCUCUACCUUUUAUUUGAAAUUUUGAAAAAGACAAAAAUACCUCUAAUUAAAUUACACAUAAUUUCUGUUUUUUUUUCCCCUUAAAAAUCAUAACAGACGUGAAAAGAAAUGUCAAAACCUAAAUUAAGAUAAUAGAUCUUUAAUUAAAUUCUAUUAUCAUCUAGAAGAAAUUAAUUUACAUAGUAAAUUUACUUUUUUUUCGUAAUAAAAUUCUUAUCGUUAUAUAAUAUAUUUCGUUAUUGUUUUAAUUUAUUUUGAAUUUAUUAGAAACAUUUUAGUUUUAUCAUUUUAGGAAUUUACUAUAAAAGGAUUCAUGAUUUGUAAGUAUAAAGACAUAAUUAAAUUCAAAUUUGUCCUCCUUAUAGAAAUUUCUCCAACAAUGAAAUUAUAAUUACAAAAACUAAGGUUUCAUGAGGAUAUUAACGUGGGUGUCAAUAGCAUCACUCAAAAUCUUACAUUCAAAUAAACCUAGGAAGAAACUUAUUAUACCUAACGGUCAAAAAAAAGUUUGUCAUUCAAUCCCCCGCCACCAUUCUCAGCAGAGCUACCGGUUGAGUUGAAGCUACUGAUAGUACUAUGUUUGGCCACACACAUUUUUUUUUUUUUUUCACGAGGUAUUCUGGGGAGAACCUCAACUGUGGGAGACACCUUUAAGCCUGUACCACAACCCAGACUAAAAGUUUCCGCUCGAACCGAGAGGCACAUGUUCUCCCAACAAAGACAAACUGGGGAACAAACCCAAUCAAUCUACUUAAGGAGACUACAUUACCAGUGGAGCCAACACUUUAUUAGUGCCACACACAUGCUUUAGUAAACCUACUAGUCCUCUCUUCCAAUUUCAAAUCUUCACCGCAAAUUUAGUAAUAUGUUGCUGCCUCUCUCUCUCGCUCUCCUACUCCCUAGUUACCUAGUAGACAUGUUCAGGCCAGUCGUCUUAUCUCCUCCCACUGGGCAUCCUCAGCGGUGGCAUAAAAAUUGGGCUCGCCUGCUUACUCCUCUUACCAUAUGGAUAUGUGGCAUGUAAUUUUGCAUCUUCUGUUGCAAUUCCUCUUGAUGAAUUCAUCACCAUUCAAUCUAACUUUUUUUUUCCUUUUUUCCAAAAUUUGCAUGUUGCAGUUUCGGUGAGUCUGCGAUACGGGUACUAUGGAGAUCGCCGCAUAGUGCUUGGACCAGGCUCGUCAAGAUUGAUGAAGGCAAGUUCUUUGUUCGUUCGCCAAGUUGAAGUGAGGGCUGAUAGCGAAAAAGGGUUUCUGCUUUAUGGGUUCUCUGAGAAGCCUCAGUUAACUCAUGAAACUAAUUGGACUGUCUCGAACUUUUUGAUGGUCGGAUCUUAUAGUCGCAAGGUGGCAUUUCAAUUUCGUCCUUUGAAUCAAAUUCAGCUACACUACUUCAGCACCUUAGCUUUCUAUAGUUAAAAAUGAUUAAAUUAAUCUUUCAGGGAAUUUCUUUGUGGUUGAACAAAGGCUCUGGUAUCCGUAUGAGAUGGGAAACUCGGGCCAGCAAAUUAAAUCAAACCCAAUUGGUCAUAAUUAAAGGUUAGUACGGUUUAUUAAAGUUCUUUGUGGGCUAAACUUGUAUCAUUUGUGAUUUCAUUGUGUGACAAAAUGUACGCAUGUGUCUACUUGCUCUAGGAGAACGAGAAUUUCAGACAUUACUGCCAAAAUUUACAAGUUCCUCUGAUCCCCCAGCUCUGACUGAUCCCAUCGACGGUAUGAUUUUUGUUUCUCUUGCCUUCUCUUUUGAAAUGAAUAAAAAAUCGAAAAUAGGACGCGCCAGAUAGGGGUCGAACCUAUGACCUUCUGCUUAGGAAACAGACGCUCUAUCCACUGAGCUACAGGCGCUUUGUUGAUAACCUUGCAUACAACAGACGCUCUAUCCACUGAGCUAUGACCUUCUGCUUAGGAAACAGACGCUCUAUCCACUGAGCUACAGGCGCUUUGUUGAUAACCUUGCAUACUUUAAAAAUUAUACCUAAUUUAAUCUCAGUAUACUUAAUUUUUUAUUUUUCAGGUAAAAAUGCAGAAUACGAUGUUGAGGAAGACGACAUGUACUAUUUUGGUGUCACAAACAAGAAUCCUCGAAGCAUAACAAUGACAAUGAAUGUAAAUGUCACAUCGAAAAUAUAUGAUCUGACAAAAGCGAAGAACAUGUGCUCAUCGUCAAACGGAUCUUGCCGGCUCAAACUCUUGUUUCCCAAUAGUCAAUAUGUCAUACUUACAACACCCGGCAAUGUAAGCGGCUCUCUUUCUUUUCCCACCUUUGUACCGUGCUCAACAAGUUAACCAAUUCCCUGAGGGCUGAGACUUGAAUCGGCCUUAAUCAAUAGUAAUUUAUUCAAUUGCAGGGAGAUCUAGAUGGCUGGCACGUUGAGGUAUCAUUUGCGGCUCGUUUGAUAAUUUACAUUGCAAUUUUAGGUACGAUAUCAUUCAUAAAACUCAUUUGAUGAUUCUUCUUUUUACAACAUCUUUUCACACCCACUCUCAUUAACCGGAUUUUAAUUCGUGCUGUCUUUAGGAUUUAUCACCUUGAUUAUCUUUCUGGUAUCAAAAUACCUUGGAGCCUGUGAUGGUAAUAGUGACAACACAGAUAGCACAGCAGCUAGAGAAGUAACUGAGACUGACCCUCUAGUCCCCGAGAAGCCAGUUCAAUGCACUUAUGGAACAACCAAUAAUGACGAAGACGAUGAUGCAGGAUCUUCUAGUACCUCUUCAGAAGAUCUCUACGACGCAAAAUUAUGUGUAAUUUGUUACGACGAUCAACGAAACUGCUUCUUUGUUCCAUGUGGCCAUUGUGCAACAUGUUAUGACUGUGGUCAGAGGUAUACGUUAAAAAUCGACCUUAAUGUUUAUUCUCAUGAGACGUAGUAAAUCUGUGUUAGUGACUUUAUUGAUGAAUUGUUUUAAUUUGCAGGAUUAUGAAGGAUGAUAGCAAGGUGUGUCCAAUAUGUCGUAGGCUUAUUCAUAAGGUUAGAAGAUUGUUUACCCCUUAGAGGUAAACUGAGGUAGGAAAAUUUGUGUGAUUACAUAAGAGAAAGAUAUUUUAUGUGUAUAGGGAGUAAUAGAUCUUGCUUUCUUCGGUUAGGAUAAGUGAGUGCUUUUAAUUGUUUUGCACUUCGAAUCCAUGGCUUAGCUUCUUAAUGUGCUGCAAGGAUAUUUGCUCCUCGGAUUAAGCUACAAGGUCAUGGAAGCAUGAAUACAUAAGGCUGAAUUUCUUGUUAGCACGAGCAAAAACACAAUUCCUGAGAAGUCUGUUUAUGCCGAAAAUGGCUGAAUCACGUUGCCUGUUAAUGACUUAUCUUUCUUAUCAACUUGUACUCAGAGAGAAUAAUAUUAACCAUGAACAUGAAAACAAACCUUACUUCUUCUAAUUCCCUGAUUUGUUCUGUUAACUCCAAGUAUUUACCUUGAGGUAAGUAAUUUCUCUUGGUUUAUUUGGGAAGUAAUAUGGAAUUUAGGUUAAGAGUAAUUGUAUAAAUUGAAAAGGAUGUGAUUGAUUAGAGUUGAAAGUAUUUGGGUAAUUGAGAAAUAUUGGUUAAAGGAAGGAUGCCUGAGUUUAUUACUAAAGGGCUUCAGAUGUUUUCAUUACUUAUACAACGGUUCACAACAUACAAUUAUUAGCAUUUUGACCGACAUUAUUGCCACCGAGCUAACUUUAGAGGUAUGAGAAAUUCUAGAAGUAAACAUGUAUGUAUUUAUUUUAAAAAAUCAUCAUGUAAGUAAUAGUUAUAUUAAAUUUAAUUAUAUAUGUUAUAUAUGUAUUAUUUAGUUGUAUUAUUUAUGAUGUAUUUUAAAAUUUUUCUAGAGAUAUAAGUUUGAGUCUUAUCUUUACGUUGACACUAAUGUUGUCUCUCUUAAUUAUAUAAUUGAAUAAAAAUAAAUAUUUUUUCAAUAAAUAUAAGUGGAGUUGUUAUAUCCCUAUAAUAUUAGUAGAUUAAAUAUAUGCUAAUGUGAGAAUAAAAAUUGAGUAAUGAUACAGCCACAAACUCUUGUACAAACUUAUUUUGUACAAACUGAUGUGGCAUGAUAAGAUUUGUUGAAUUAAAUAUCACUUAGCCCACAUGAGCCCACAUGAUUUGUUUUUAUAAUUAAAUAUCACUUAGCCCACAUGAUUUGUUUUUAUUAAUUUAUAUUUUCAUUCAACCAAUCUUAUCAUGCCACAUCAGUUUGUACAAAAUAAGUUUGUACAAGAGUUUGUGACUGUAUCAUUACUCAUAAAAAUUUAUGUUAUUUGGAUACCGUAAUCGAACUUAUAAUAUGAAUUUUUAUUAUUUUAAAAAAGUACACUACAUUCCCAAAAUUUAGAGUUGGCGGCCACUGGAUCUGUAAGUUACGUGAUCCGUAACUUGGCCAACUCUAACACGGAGCUUGUUCAAGUUUUCAACGCCUUUGGAAAGAAGAAACUUUGGUGAGAGGACGAUAAACCAAAAAAAGAUAAUUUCACUUUUCUAACAAGCGACCAAGCACUUUUAACUAGAAAUUACUAUAAUUAUCCAAAAUUGAAUACUAUAUUAGAGAAAUAAAUUUCGGAACCAAUCACUUAACGAGCAAAUAAUAUAAAAUUUGUAAAAUGAAAUAAAAAUUAAAAAAUUCAAUAAACGGACGUCGUUGUCAGCCUGUAAAGAUAUUUUAAUAGAUAAUUCAUUUUUUUCUUACAGAUGGAUAUGUAUUAAGAUAUUUUAAUAGAUGAUUCAUUUCUUAUGGAUGGAUAUGUAUUAACAUAUUUUAAUAGAUAAUUCUUUAGCUUCUAGAAAAUUGUAUUAAUUUAGUUUAGAAUAUGUCAAUUUACAAAAAAGUCCCUCCCUAGUUGUAAAAACUACAUAGCUUAUAAUUACUCAUUUUUACUCAUUUCGAGGUUGUAAUUAUAUUAUUACUCAUUUUUAUGAGACAGAAAUAAACCCAACAAUUACAGCAGAUUCAAUAUUCAUUAUCUAUCAAAGGUUAUAAGGCUAUAGUUACGUUAAAAUUAGUUAUAAUGAAAUACAAAUUUCAGCCACAUACAAAAUUAUAAAUAAUAAUAAUUUAUUAUUUAUUAUUUAUUAUUUUAUAUAUAGUUAAGAUUCAUACUCCACCGUCCAUAAACUCGUUACAAAAGCUCAGUAAAGGGGCAACAUAUAAUACAAAUUUUAAUGGUCCCCACAUGACGUGUCCUCGUGCCUAGGGCAGCCAAUAUUAUUGCAUUGUCAAAUUUUCUCCGGUCUCUGGCACGGAGUAGGUACUUGGAUUUGUCAGCAUAUCAGUGUUUGAUUUUGAUGGACUUAAAAGAGGAAAAAUUAAAAGAGUAUUCUUUCUCAAAAGAUUCCAUUGGCUAUGGCAGGGAAACCAAAAUGUGCUCUCUCUCUCUCACCCCAUUCUAACACCACCAUUCUUAUUCUCCUCCUUGUUCAGACUUCAUACUGCUGAUAGAAUCAUCAAAUCGCAACUAGCGUCGUGAAAAAAAAAGGAAAAAAAAAAAUUCCAUGGAUUCCUUAUUCUACUACUGCUUUCUUAUCCUUUUCUCCUCAUAUUUCCUAACAAAAUAUUUCCUCCAAGUUAACAGAAAUCUCCCACCAAGCCCUGGGGUUUCACUACCCAUAAUAGGCCAUCUCUACUUGUUCAAGAAACCCCUUCAUCGAACCCUGGCCAAACUAUCUAAUCAAUAUGGUCCAAUUCUAUUUACUAGGUUCGGUUCUCGCCCUGUCGUCCUUGUAUCUUCCCCUUCUGCUGCAGAGGAAUGCUUCACCAAAAAUGACAUCAUAUUCGCCAACCGCCCUCGCCUGCUUGCAGGAAAACAUCUUGGUUACAACUACACCACCCUCGUUUGGGCCCCUUAUGGUGACCAUUGGCGCAACUUGCGCCGCAUAGCUUCUCUUGAACUCUUGUCAUCUAAUCGCCUGCAGAUGUUUCAUGGCAUCCGCGUUGACGAGGUCAAGCUACUGUGUCAAAGGCUCUUCCGAGGAUCAAAGAGCGGUGAGUACCAGAUUGUUGAUAUGAAGUCUAUGUUUUUUGAGCUAACUCUAAAUGUGGUGAUGCGGAUGAUUGCUGGGAAGCGUUAUUAUGGAGAGAACGUGUCAGGAUCGGAGGAUGCAAGAAGAUUUAAAGCAAUUGUUACUGAGACUUUCCAGUUGAGUGGUGCUACUAAUGUUGUAGAUCUUUUGCCAUUUGUGAAGUGGGUUGGAUUGAGCAAGACUGAAAAGAGGCUAAUGAUACUGCAUGGGAAACGAGAUAAGUUCAUGCAGGAUUUGAUUGAAGAACGUAGAAGACUGAGGUGUGAUUCUGCUUCUGAACAGAGGAGUAGAACUAUGAUUGAUGUGCUACUAUCACUGCAAGAGACUGAGCCUGAAUAUUAUACAGAUCAUAUAAUCAGAGGGAUGAUGCAAGUAAUCUGCUGAUUUGACUUGAAAAUUUUAAUUAAUUAAACUUGUAAUUAAUUUCUCAAUGAAUAAUUUUUUGAAGCAUUAUUGUCUGAUUCUGUUUCCAGGUCCUGCUAGGAGCAGGGUCAGACACUUCGGCUGCAACUAUGGAAUGGGCACUGUCAAGUUUGCUAAACAAUCCGGAGAUCCUUGUACAAGCUCAAUCAGAAAUUGACACAAACGUAGGGCAAAGCCGGCUAAUUGAGGAAUCUGAUCUUACCGCACUUCCAUAUCUCCACGGCGUCAUCAAAGAGACACUCAGGAUGUACCCUGCAGCUCCACUACUAGUUCCUCAUGAAUCGUCCGAGGAGUGCACUAUAGGAGGUUUCAAAGUUCCACGUGGCACAAUGUUGUUGGUGAACUCGUGGGCCAUACAAAAUGAUCCUAGAAUAUGGGAAGAGCCCUCAAAAUUCAAGCCAGAGAGGUUCCGGGAAAUGGCAGGGAAAAGUGAUAAGUAUAUGCUUUUGCCAUUUGGGACAGGGAGGAGAGUGUGUCCUGGAGAAGGCUUGGCGAUGAGGUUGGUUGGGUUGGCAUUAGGUUCGUUGGUUCAGUGCUUUGAGUGGGUGAGAACAGGUGGUGAUGAGUUGGUGGACAUGAGCGAAGGCACUGGGCUUACCAUGCCUAGAUCUCAACCUUUGCUAGCAAUGUGUAGGCCAAGACCCGCGAUGGUGACCCUCCUUUCUCAACUUUGAGUACUCUUGUUUCUUGUGGUGUAAUUGUGUUGACUUUCUUAGUUUUAGCAAUCGAACUGUCAAAUGACAAAUUGGCAAUUCUGCAAUCCCCACGUAAGUUGUUCAAUUCCAUCGUUUCUUAAUUUAUAUUAGUUUCUUUUCGAUUAAGAUAACAUUUUAGAAGGCAAAAAUUUUCCCAUAUUAUAUAAUUUUUCUUUAGUGAGAACAUUUUUAAGAUAUCAGUAAAAUUAAAAAAAAGGUAUUCAUUUUAAUACAUUGAAGAAUAAAGACGUAAUCUUUUUAUAUUUCUAUUGAUGAGAAUGUUCUUUUAGAAAAUGAUUAUACACACACAUACUAUUUUUCCGGUCCUCUUGAUCGCUUUAAGAUGUCUCGGGCGGAAAAACCCUAUACGAUUAUAAUUAUGAUAUUAUUCUCUGACCUAAACUAUGAAUAAUCUGCAUACGUGUCAUCUCCUUAAGAUGCUCUAAUACAAAAUGGAUUCAGUGAGGUCUCCUUAUAAAAAAGACCACCCCGCUCUGUAGGUAAAAUCCUAAGACCGAAGCAUUUAAAAAAAGAGAAACUUUUUCUCUUAAGUUGUUAUCUCGGCAACUCUUCGUUCUGACUUAAGCAUUGAAGGUAUUCACUGGUAACAACAUUAGGGGUCUUACAAUGUCGGCAACAACAUUGGUGCCCUUCCGAUUUUCUUGUUUCAUAGGCAAGGACGUUAAAUCCAAAGCUUGAGAUUUCUUUCGACUAGUGGCCUCAUUGAAUCCCAACCUUUUUAUUGCCCGUUCACUUUAAUCCCGACCUUAUUAUUCCUCGAUCAUUUUAAGGUACAAACUAUUGGUGUCUAAAAGUGUAUAUGGUUGCUUAAAAAAUCAUCAAAUUACUUUUCGCUUUCUGGAUCGUAACUUGUAAGGAGCAUUUUAAAAAGGUUGUGACUAAGUUAUAGAUUCUGUAAUUAACUAACCGUUAAUAUGAUUGGUUGGAUUAAAAGUUAGAAGUCGGAUGGAUGUUCAUUAAUUUAAAUAAAAAGAAAAGUGUUGGGUCUACCGACUAGAAAGGUUUUUCGGCAACUAAUAUUGUGGGUUAAUCAAUUUAUAUAUCUCUCAAUACAUAAACUUCAUGGCUACGUGCCUGUUAGGUGUGGACAAAAUCGGAUUCGAAUUGGGUUCGGAUAUUGGAUGUCAGAUUAAUCGGAUUAAGAAAAAUGUCACCCAAACUGCGCCCAACUUUUAGAUCGGAUCGAAUCAGAUUUCGAUCCGAUCCCAACGUAUUCGGAUUGAAUAGGAUCGGAUAAAAAAUUGGGUCAAAUUCAAAUCAAAACGGGUUAAGCUUAGCCACGAAAUCACAUAUACAAAUACAAACAUUCCCAAUCAAAAAAGCAUAAAGCAAACAUCUCAUCUUAUCAUACAAAAUGAAAAAUCAAAGUCUUAUUAUUUAGAAAUCAAACUAUGCACUCGAUCUAACAAAUACAAUUCAAUAUUAAUUUGCCUUGCAUUUCAAACAACAUAGAACUCAAUAUAGUGAUGAAAAAAAUGAUUAUAUUUGAUCCAAUAUAUCAAUGAACCCAGAAUUCAAUAUUCCUAAAAAUAAUGCUGAAAAUAAAGGUUAAUUAAAUUGGUAUCAAAUGAAUUUAAAAAAAUAAUCAAUUUUUUUAUGAAAAAAUAUGAAAAAGCAAAGAUUUUGAAGGGAAAAUUUACUGAAGAGAGAGAACCCGAAUAGGAAAGUGGGAGAAUCUAAGAUCCAAGAAAAGGCAUAAUUAGAAGGGAGGGUUGGUGAUGGUGGCUGUCGGUUGAGAUGGAUCAAUCUGUGUAGUGGUCGCGGUGACCAGUGGAGGAAGCGACAGCAGCGGUUGAGCUGCAGCAGAACCUGUUGGUGCAUCGCAAACUGGCCAUGGCUUGGCUUCACACGGUUGCGUCGAUGACUAUUGGCUGCUGUGCUGCCAUCUACGUCUGGUGUCUCUAAUUUGUCUUUGGUGAGUGCUGCCGCUACGUAUGUAUGUAGUGUGAGUCGAGUAUUGAGUAGUGUGAGGGAGCGAAUCACGAUGGAAAUAAAUUAGGUUCAGAUGUUUAGAUUAGUUUUGUUCUUUUUAUGUUAAGACCAACUCAAUCAGGGUUUCGGAUUGGAUGGGGUUUAAUCUGAUCCGAUUAAAAUCCGUUCAAGUUAGAUAAAUGUCAUCUAAUCGGAUUGGACACGUAAUUCGAUCUGAUUCGAACGUGAUUUUUUCGGAACGGAUUAGGUUGGGUCAGGACAGGUUGAAUCGGAUUAUUUGCCCACCUUUAGUGCCUAUAAUAGUUCCUUCAAAAUAAAAUAAUUAUUUUGUUUAUAAAAGUUUUAAUAUUACAAAGAUGGCAACCAAUCAAAGAGUGAUAUAUGUAUUUCCCCUACUGGUGGUCAAAUUUUACUUUUACUUAAUUAUACAUAUCUAAAAUUAACAAAAUUCACCAACACACAUGUCAUAUAAGUAUAUAUAUGUUUGUUUUAAUUUUUUUUUUUGUCUUUUUUCUCAAAACAUUAGGGGAUCAAAAUGUCCUGAUCCCAAAAUAAUAUACUGCGAAUAAAAAACAUCCAUAGUUUGCAAUAUUAAAAUUUAAAUUACGUUUUAUAACUCAUUCCAAUGAGACAAGUGAAAAAUCAAUAUGUUCACUUGGUGAGUGGUAUAUCAUGUUGAUUGUCAUUGGCCUACUAAUACGUUUGAAUGACUUUAUAAUUAUUGUUAUGAUGACCUAUUCGCACCUUAACAAAUAUUUUAAAUACUUAUAUUUUACUAACAUAUUAUAUAUCUGAAUUACCCAUGAUGUAAAAUUUUGCCAUCAUACAAAUAGACUUUUGCUACUUUCGACAACCAUCUAACUCAUUCAUCGAAACUACAAUCAUUUUUUCCUUGAUCUUAAGAAUUUCUCUCUACAUAAAAUUUAGUACUUAAAAAAUUACAAAAUCAAUAAAUAUUCUCAAUUCUAAGAAUUGGGACCUUAUUGCAUUUAUAAUUCAUUCCUGUACUAAUUUUCUGCUGCAAUUAAAUCAGAUGUGAGAAUAAAAAUUUAUGUUAUUUGGAUGUCGUAAUAGAGCUUUUCACACGUAUUUUUAUUUUUUGGAAUACGUACACCUACAUUCCCAAAAUUUAAGAAAAUAGUUAUAUAAACCUCUAAGUUUUUAAUAAGUUACACCAAAAUUCCCUUUUAACUAGAAUACCCUUUGACUUUAUUAACUAAAAAAAAUGACUCUAAUGUUCUAUAAUAAAUAUAAAUAUAAUUAUAAAAUAAAUUUUACAAUUAAGAUAAUUUUUUUAAUACUUUGCAACCUUAUAUUAUGUUAAACUAAAUUUUAUAAUAAAUAAAAACAUAAUAUAACAUAAUAUAAAAUAGUUUUAAUAUUAUUACUGCUGUAUUAGACAAAUUAAACUACAUAAAUUAUUUUUUAUUUAUUAAAAAAAUUAUAAAGUGAAUUAUUUUAGUUACUAUCUAUAAAGGGUAUUAUAGUUAAAAGGGAGUCAUAAUAUACUUUAUUAAAAACUUGAGAGUUUACAAGAUAACUUUCCUAAAUUUCAAGAGUGUAGUUGUCAUUGUCCCUUUUUUAUUUUUAAAUAUCACUCUUGACCAAUCAAUUUCAAGGGAAAAUCUAUGGUGCAAUUAUGGUACCGUGCCACAAUUACACAAUAGCUUGAUUCCAAUUUCAAUAUAAAAAAUAAAUAAAUGGACAUCAUUGCAAGCGGCCAAAAAAUUGAAAAAAGAAAAGUUUAAACACUUGUACUUUGCAAAAAGAUCUUUUAAAAAAGCACCAUUAAUUUUACUUUUUUAUUUUUAUUUUUUGAAAAAACGGCCAUUUUAAAAUUUCAUCACAACUCGUUUAUUUUCCAAUGACAUUAUGUCUAAUGUCUUAAAUAUAAAAAUGGCAAGUUAGAUCUAGAUGACAUCUUUGUAUACAUAGUCUACACGUCGUUCACGUAAUAUAACUGUACACGACUUGUCAUCCAAAAUAUUUAUAGAAAAUACUAUGUGCUGUUGCAUAUUCUUUAUGAUCCGUUGUUUGACUUUUUAAGGGCAAGGACACGUCAUGUAAUUGAUAUCCGCAUUGAUGACAAGACAUAUUUUCAUUUUAAAUGGCAACAACAAGUCCUCAUAUAAGAAGAAUUCUGCAUCAUUUUACUAAAAGUAAGAGAUAAUUGAUUUUUUAACAACUAUAUAGAAUAAUAAACUAUUUCAACAAUUUAUAUACUUUUUAAUGUUUGUUUUACUUUAGAAAACUAAAAUUAGAAAAUGAUUUCUUGGCCUCUGUUAGGCUCGUGUCAAAUUUGGUCCAAUAAGGUAACAAUUGUAUAUAUUAUGCAUAAUACAUUUUAUUUGAAAUAUUUAUUUCUUCUUACUAUUAGUAUAUGUGAAUAAAGAGACCAUUUAUAAAAGUAAAAUUAUAAAAUUAAAAGACUAUAAGCUAAACCAAAUAAAAUAAAAGGUAACUCAUUUAUCCUAAAAUAUUGUUUUUUUUUUAAACUUGUACUUGACAAAAAUUUAAAAAAACAUGUCAUUUAUUUCUUCAACUAAACGACAAGCAUAAAUAGUAUUUUUUAGCACAUACUAUUUACAAUCCGUCAUUUGAAUUUUGAUCCAAAUCGACUAGAUAUUUAUUUAAUAGUCAAUAAGACGACCCGAUAUAUUCUUAUUUGACUUGUCAAUGACAAGUCAUCGGUUGAGAUGAAUUUCACUUAAUUUUAAUCAUAGUAAGAGAUUGCUUGUUUUUAACACUUCAAUAAAAUAAUAACUUGUUCCAAUAAUUUAUAUAUUUUUAAGUGUUUGUUUUGUUUUGGAAAACUAAAAUAUAAAAAAAUGAUCUCUUGCCUCUCAUUAGACUCAUUUAAAAUUUAGUCAAAUAAUUUAAAAGUUGUACAUGUUAUUAGUAAUGCGUUUUAUUUGAAAUAUUUAUUUUUCUUAAUAUUAAUAUGUGUGGAUAGAGAGACCAUUAAUAAAACUAAAAUUCGAAAAUCCAAAGACCAUUAACUAAAACAAAAUAAAUAAAAGAUAGCUGAUUUUCCCAAAAUAAUUUUUUUUAUAAAAAAUACCAUUAACUUUGCUUUUCUAUUUUUUUUUCUUAGGAAAAGACAUUUGUAAAAUUUUAUUUUAGACAUGAUAAGUCAUUUAUUUUUUGAAUGACAUUACAUCCAAUGUUUUAAAAUUUAAAUGGCAAGCAGGAUCUAGAUGACAUGUCCAUUGUCGUUGGAUAAAUAAAUGUCGCAUCGUGCAUUUCAUAUAUAUAUAUAUAUAUAAUAAUGAAGCAUCCCCAUUAUUUAUAUAAAAAACAAGAGUCAAUAGUAUGCACCAAUGCAUACUAUUUAUAGUAUGUCGUUUGAGUUUUGAGGGAAACAACUCAUCAUUUACUUGAUUAACUCGGAGACAACAUAACAUUUGAUUAUUGUUCAAUGACAUGUCAUAUGUUAAGAUGAAUUCCACAUGAUAUUAAUGAAAAUAACAGAUCGUUUGUUUUUAAUGAUUAAAUAGAAUAAUUCACUAUUGAAGAAAGAGAAGUAUUAUCUUAUUUGAAAAAUAUUAUUUGGAGAGUUUUUUGAAAAUUUUAAUUUAAUAUUAUAUUACUUUUUAUCUUAUUAUUCUUGAAGAGAGAAGUGUUAUAAUUGUUAUUAUUUUGAUAGAAAAAAAAAGUUUGAUUAAAAUAAUAUAAACUUAUUUUUAUUUUGAAGAUUCUUUUGAAAAAUGAUUUUUUUUUACUCUUCUAUUUUCUUCAUAACUAAACAAAUAAAUUUUUCAAGAAUUAAAUUAAAAGAAUUUUGAUGAUGCUCUAAGUAUGGUCGCUUACCAAUGAUUUUAGCUUAUUUUUAAAUAUUUUUUUGCAAAUAAAAUUUCCACGACCUGACCUUAUCCUCUUCAUAUUUUAUAGAUAGAUAUUUACUAAGAAUUUUUAAUUGAUAAUUCUCUGGGGCAUACUACAAUGUAAAGGCUGUUAUAGGCUAUAUAAUUAAAAUUACUUAUAAGAGCUUACUAUAUUUAGAUAGAUAUUCCAACUAACAUGGUGUUAAAAUAUAACUCUAUGAAACAAGUGAUAAUAUUCACUAAUAUGAUUUUGGCCUGUACUUAAUAACAGAGUUUCACAUAAUAAUUUCACUCUAGAAUCCCUAGAGUAUAAUUGAACCUUUAGAUAUGCUAUAAAGAGAGAGAAAAAAAAAGAAGAAUUUCUCAUUUCAACUUUGCUAAUGCUUUCUUCCUAUAUUUCAAAAUAGAGAAAUCAUAGAGUACCUCAAGAAUAAAAAUUCAAAUUUUAGAUUAAAAGUUAAAAAGAAUUGCUCAAUUGGAGAAUGAAUUAAACAAAAAUUAAGUUCAUUUGCAACCAAGCCAAUUCUUGUUCAUUACUCAACCAUGCAAGAUUAGAGGGAAAAAAAGAUAAAAUAAUCCCUGAGGGAUAAAGAAAACUACUGCUAUUGUCUUUUAAUGGAAUGUGAUGUUUUCUCUUUCAAAAAUUUAAAAAAAAAAAAUUGUUUCCCACGAUGAUUUUUUUGUUUUUAAAAAAAUUAUUAAAAAUUAAAAAAAAUAUUCUUCACUUGCACCAACAUAUGAACUUUUAACUCCAAAGUUAUAAGAGGAGUGCUACUUACAAUUUUACACUGAAAAAUUCAUUUCAAAUUAAUGUUAACUCCGAAGUUAUAACAUGCAGCUAUUCUGUGAAGCUGAGUAGGCAACAGUAUAAACGUCUGUUCAAAUUUUUAAUGCAUUUGGGAAGAAGAAACUCUGGUUAGAUGAUGGCCAUUUCAAUUUUCUAACAAGCGAACAAGCACUUUUAACUAGAAAGUACUAUAAUUAUCCAAAAUUGAAUAUUAUAUUAGAGAAAUAAAUCUCAGAACCAAUCACUUAACGAGUAAAUGACAUAAAAUUUGUGAAAUUUGAAAUAAUAUCAAAAAGAAAAAGAUUGUUCAAAUUAAAAUUUGUAAAAUGAAAAAAAAAAAUUAAAUAAACGGACAUCAUUCUCAGCCUAGAAAGAUAUAGUAAUAGAUAAUUCAUUUCUUCAUAUAGAUGGAUACGUAUUAAGAUAUCUUAAUAGAUAAUUCUUUAGUUUCUAGAAGAUUGCACUAAUUUCGACAACCGCAAUGACACUGACAUGCAGCGGGUUUAGGAUAUGUCGAUUUACAAAAAAUGUCCCUUCCUGGUUGUAAAAACUACAUAGGUUAUAAUUUCUAAGUGGCAGAAAUAAACCCCACAUAAAAUGGCAACAUAAAAUACAAAUUUUAUUUCUCACUGGACGGCAACAAGCAAGUUAGUGGUAGUCCCUACAUGACGUGUCCUUGUGCCUAGUGCUGCCAAUAUUAUUUAUUGCAUUGUCCAAUUUUGUCCGGUCUCGGAUACUAAUGCUGUGUUUACUUUUUAAAUUGGAGUGGGAAUCCUGAAGAGUGAGAAUCCUUUGAUUAGGAAUAUAGAGUGGGAGUGAGAGUAGAGUGUUUACUUAGAUUAAAUGAAAGUAUGGAUUGUCAAUCAGAAUCCUAAUUAUUUGUUUACUUUGUCUUGGAUUAAGAGUAAAUUAUUUUAAAUUAUAAUUUUAUCCUUAUGUACAGAAUUAUAAUUUGUAAUUAAAAAAUUAAUAAAAAAUAUAUUUGGAAAAUAAAAUAAAUAUUUUAUUAUAUUUAUAAAUUAAUAAUAAUUACUAAUAUUCUUAAUUAUGUAAAUCAUAAUUUUUUAUUAAAGUUAUUUUAUUAAAUUUAAUAAAAUAAAUAUGUUAUAAUUAUUAUUUAUUAAAAAUAAUAUUUAUUUUAAAAAUAAAAUAAUAUCAUAUUUAUUAAAAAUAAUAAUUAUAACAUAUUUAUUUUAUUAAAUAUGAUAUUAUUUAUUUUAUUAAAUAUUAUUUAUUUAUUUUAAUUAUGAGGGUAAAAUGGGAAGAGAGGGGAGUGGAUUCCCACUCCCACGGUCCCACCUCCCCCUAUGGGAGUGAGAAUCUCACUCCCAACUCCAAAAUUAGAUAAGACCCACGGAGUGAGAAUUCCACUCCCUCAUGUUUUAAGGUAAAUAAACACUAAAAUAGGAGGAAUCCACACUCCACACUCCCACUCCAAAAAAUAAACACUGCCUAAAAGAUUUGUCAGCGUAUCAGUGUGUGGCUUUGAUGGAACCCAAAAUAUGCUCACUCGCUCUCGCCCCAUUCUAACACCACUCAUUCUCCUCCUUGUUCAGACUGCAUACUGCUGAUAGAAUCAUCAAAUCGCAACUAGCGUCGUCAAAAAAAGAAAAAGAAAAAAUCCAUGGAUUCCUUAUUCUACUACUGCUUUCUUAUCCUUUUCUCCUCAUAUUUCCUAACAAAAUAUUUCCUCCAAGUUAACAGAAAUCUCCCACCCAGUCCUGCGGUUUCACUACCCAUAAUAGGCCAUCUCCACUUGUUGAAGAAACCCCUUCAUCGAACCCUGGCCAAACUAUCAAACCAAUAUGGUCCCAUUCUAUUCAUUAGGUUCGGUUCUCGCCCUGUCGUCCUUGUAUCUUCCCCUUCUGCUGCAGAGGAAUGCUUCACCAAAAAUGACAUCAUAUUCGCCAACCGCCCUCGCCUGCUUGCAGGAAAACAUCUUGGUUACAACUACACCACCCUCGUUUGGGCCCCUUAUGGUGACCAUUGGCGCAACUUGCGCCGCAUAGCUUCUCUUGAACUCUUGUCAUCUAAUCGCCUGCAGAUGUUUCAUGGCAUCCGCGUUGACGAGGUCAAGCUACUGUGUCAAAGGCUCUUCCGAGGAUCAAAGAGCGGUGAGUACCAGAUUGUUGAUAUGAAGUCUAUGUUUUUUGAGCUAACUCUAAAUGUGGUGAUGCGGAUGAUUGCUGGGAAGCGUUAUUAUGGAGAGAACGUGUCAGGAUCGGAGGAUGCAAGAAGAUUUAAAGCAAUUGUUACUGAGACUUUCCAGUUGAGUGGUGCUACUAAUGUUGUAGAUCUUUUGCCAUUUGUGAAGUGGGUUGGAUUGAGCAAGACUGAAAAGAGGCUAAUGAUACUGCAUGGGAAACGAGAUAAGUUCAUGCAGGAUUUGAUUGAAGAACGUAGAAGACUGAGGUGUGAUUCUGCUUCUGAACAGAGGAGUAGAACUAUGAUUGAUGUGCUACUAUCACUGCAAGAGACUGAGCCUGAAUAUUAUACAGAUCAUAUAAUCAGAGGGAUGAUGCAAGUAAUCUGCUGAUUUGACUUGAAAAUUUUAAUUAAUUAAACUUGUAAUUAAUUUCUCAAUGAAUAAUUUUUUGAAGCAUUAUUGUCUGAUUCUGUUUCCAGGUCCUGCUAGGAGCAGGGUCAGACACUUCGGCUGCAACUAUGGAAUGGGCACUGUCAAGUUUGCUAAACAAUCCGGAGAUCCUUGUACAAGCUCAAUCAGAAAUUGACACAAACGUAGGGCAAAGCCGGCUAAUUGAGGAAUCUGAUCUUACCGCACUUCCAUAUCUCCACGGCGUCAUCAAAGAGACACUCAGGAUGUACCCUGCAGCUCCACUACUAGUUCCUCAUGAAUCGUCCGAGGAGUGCACUAUAGGAGGUUUCAAAGUUCCACGUGGCACAAUGUUGUUGGUGAACUCGUGGGCCAUACAAAAUGAUCCUAGAAUAUGGGAAGAGCCCUCAAAAUUCAAGCCAGAGAGGUUCCGGGAAAUGGCAGGGAAAAGUGAUAAGUAUAUGCUUUUGCCAUUUGGGACAGGGAGGAGAGUGUGUCCUGGAGAAGGCUUGGCGAUGAGGUUGGUUGGGUUGGCGGAUCAGAGAGCGGUGAGUACCGGAUUGUUGACAUGAAGUCUAUGUUUUUUGAGCUAACUGUAAAUGUAGUGAUGCGGAUGAUUGCUGGGAAGCGAUAUUAUGGAGAGAACGUGUCAGGAUCGGAGGAUGCCAGAAGAUUUAAAGCAAUUGUUACUGAGACUCUUCAAUUGAGUGCUGCUACUAAUCUUGUAGAUUUUUUGCCAUUUGUCAAGUCGGCUGGAUUGAACAAGACUGAAAAGAGGCUAUUGAUACUGCGUGCGAAACGAGAUAAGUUCAUGCAGGAAUUGAUUGAAGAGCAUAGAAGACUGAGGUGUGAUUCUGUUUCUGAACAGAGGAGUAGAACUAUGAUUGAUGUGCUAAUAUCACUGCAAGAGACUGAGCCUGAAUAUUAUACAGAUCCUAUAAUCAGAGGGAUGAUGCAAGUAAUUGCUGAUUUGUCUUCAAAAUUUUAAUUAAUUAAACUUGUAAUUAAUUUCUCAAUGAUUAAUUUUUUGAAGCAUUAUUGCCUGAUUAUGUCUCCAGGUCCUGCUAAUAGCAGGGUCAGACACUUCGUCUGCAACUAUGGAAUGGGCACUGUCAAGUUUGCUAAACAAUCCAGAGAUCCUUGUACAAGCUCAAUCAGAAAUUGACACAAACGUUGGGCAAAGCCGGCUAAUUGAGGAAUCUGAUCUUACCGAACUUCCAUAUCUCCACGGCAUCAUCAAAGAGACACUCAGGAUGUACCCUGCAGCUCCACUACUAGUUCCUCAUGAAUCGUCCGAGGAGUGCACUAUAGGAGGUUUCAAAGUUCCACGUGGCACAAUGUUGUUGGUGAACUCGUGGGCCAUACAAAAUGAUCCUAGAAUAUGGGAAGAGCCCUCAAAAUUCAAGCCAGAGAGGUUCCGGGAAAUGGCAGGGAAAAGUGAUAAGUAUAUGCUUUUGCCAUUUGGGACAGGGAGGAGAGUGUGUCCUGGAGAAGGCUUGGCGAUGAGGUUGGUUGGGUUGGCAUUAGGUUCAUUGAUUCAGUGCUUUGAGUGGGUGAGAACAGGUGGUGAAUUGGUGGACAUGAGCGAAGGCACUGGGCUUACCAUGCCUAGAGCUCAACCUUUGCUAGCAAUGUGUAGGCCGAGACCCGCGAUGGUGACCCUCCUUUCUCAACUUUGAAUACCCUUGUUUCUUGUGGUGUAAUUGUGUUGACUUUCUUAGUUUUAGCAAUCGAAUUGGCAAUUCUACAAUCCCCACGUAAGUUGUUCAAUUCUAUCGUUUCUUAAUUUAUAUUAAUUUCUUUUCGAUUAAGAGGAAAUUUUAGAAAACAAAAUUUUUGGCAUAUUAUAUAGUAUUUCCCUACUGAAAACAUUCUUAAAAUGUCAGUAAAAUAAAAAAGUACUAAUUUUAAUACAAGACUGUAUCCUUUUACAUUUUUAUUGAUGAGAAAGUCUUUAUAAAAAAUGAUUAUAUAUAUAUAUAUAUAUACACGCGUGCGAACGCACACACUAUUUUCCCACGGUUCUCUUGACCACUUUCUUUGGUGGAAAAACUCAAUACAACUAUAAUUAUGAUAUUAUUCUCUAACCUCAAUUAUGAAUAAUUUGCAUAGUGUCAUCUCGUUAAGAUGUUCUAAUACAAAAUGGAUUCAAAGAGGUCUCCUUAGAAAAGGACUACCCCGCUCGGCAAGUAAAAUCUUGAGACUGAAUCAUUAAAAAAAAAAAAAAAAAUUCUCUUAAGUUGUUAUCUCGGCAAUUCUUCAUUCUGACUUAUGUAUUGGAUGUAUUCGCCGGUAACAGCACUGGGGCCCUUACGAUCCGGUAACAACACUGGCGUCCUUAUGAUUUUCUUGUUUUGCAAAUAAGGAUGUUAGAUCCAAACCUUGAGAUUUCUUUCGACCAGUGGCCUCAUUGAAUCCGACCUUAUUCCCCGAUCACAAAUUUUUGGUGUCUAAUAGUAUAUAUGGUUGCUUAAAAAAUCAUCAAAUUAGUUUUCGGUUUCUGGAUCGUGACUUGUGACUUGUGAGUAAGGAACAUUUAAAAGGCAACGGCUAAGUUAUAGAUUCUAUAUUGAAUUGACCGUUAAUAUGAUUGGUUGGAUUAAAAGCCACAGGAUGUUAAUUAAUUUAAAUAAAAAGAAAAAUGUUGGGUCUACUGACUAGAAAUGUUUUUCGGCAACUAGUACUGUGGGUUAAUCAAUUUAUAUAUCUCUCAAUACAUAAACUUCAUGGUCACAUGCUUAUAAAAGUUCCUUUAGAAUAAAAUAAUUAUUUUGUUUAUAAAAGUUUUAAUAUUACAAAUAUGGCAACACUCAAAGGGUGAUAUAUGUCUCUCCCAUAUUAGUAGCCAGAUUUUACUUUUAUUUAAUUAUACUUAUAUUUAAAUAAUUUAAAUAAUAAAAUUAGAAAAAUUAUAGGAAAAAUUAAAUAAAUUGUGUCAUGUGUAAUCUUUAUUUAUCUAAAAUUAUCCAAAUUUACCAACAAACAUGUCCUAUAAGUAUACAAAUGUUUGUUUUAAAUUUUAAGAAUUUUUUUUGUCUCUUUUCUUAAAACAUUGAGGGAUCAAAACGUUCUUUCCCGAAAUAAUAUAUUGCGAACAAAAAAAUUUACAUUAAGCUUUAUAAUUCAUUCUAAUGAGAUAAGUGAAAAAUCAGUUUAUUCACUUCACCAACGAGUGGCAUGUCAUGCUGAUUGUCAUUGGCACACCAACUCGUUUGGAUGACUUUAUAAUUAUUGUUAUGAUGACCUAUUUGCACCUUAACAAAUAUUUUAAAUACUUAUAUUUUACUAAUAUAUUAUAUAACUGAAUUAUCCAUGACGCAAAAUUUUGCCAUCAUACACUAUAGACUUUUAUUACUUUUGACAACCAUCUUACUCAUCCAUCAAAACUACAAUCAUCUUUCUCUUCAUCUUAAGAAUUUCUCUCUACAUAAAAUCUAGAAUCUAAAAAAUUACUUAAAAUCAAUAAAUUUUCUCAAAUCUAAGCAUUGGGACCUUGUUGCAUUUAUAAUUCAUUCCUGUCAAUUUUCUGCUGCAACUAAAUCAAUGGUAGAGACAAGAAACAAAAUAUAUUCUUGUAUGAUUGCAUUCAUUUCUUGUGGAUCUCUUGCUAAGUUAGAGACAAGAACUAUGUUGCAGUGACUAGAAUAUUUAUGGGAGAUAUCUUGCAAAAAAAAAAAUCAAUGAGUAAUGAUCGUACGGACGAGGAAGCAAAUGUUUUAAUUAAGGGCUAUUUUGACAUUUGGAAGGGUAUGUACAGUAAAUUUUGAUUGUUUUUCUCAAAAUUUAUUAAAGGAUGCACCCUGGCUUAUAUUACCCGUUCUAUUCAUAAUCUAUAUAUAUAAAGAUAGGACUUGAAGAGGUGAUGUGGCAUCACCAUUUUACUUUUUUGUAUAUUCUCUAUUAUCUAAUAAAUAGAGUUUUUUUUUUUAGAUUUGGCUUUUCAUCUUCUCAUAAUUAAUUUAAUUGUAUUUAACUCAUUUAAUAAAUAGUAACUUUAUUAAUAUAUAUCAUUCCUCAUCUUUUUAUAUUUUCUAUUAUCUAAAAUAUCUAAAAUAUUGGUGAAUAUUCUUUGUACUUUUUUUCUCUUUCUAUUUAAAUUCAACAAUAUGUAAUCAUUAAUAAUAAUUAAUUAUAAGUCUUUUGAAACAUUUAUUUAUUUUAUUAUGCUAGCAAUUAAACUUUAGUGACUUAAAAUACAUGAAUUAAUUAACAUAAGAAGAUAUGUUCUUUCAUUUAUAAAGCUAAGACUUGAGGAGGUGAUGUGGCAUCACCAUUUUGCUUCUUUGUAUAUUCUCUAUUAUCUAAUAAAUAGAGAAAUUUUCUUUUAGAUUUGGCUUUUCAUCUUCUCAUAUUUAAUUUGAUUGUUAUUAUGCUAGCAAUUAAACUUUAGUGGCUUAAAAUACAUGAAUUAAUUAACAUAGGAAUAUAGGUUCUUUCAUUUUCCCUCAACAAUGCCACUAAGGCUUAAUUUUAAUGUCAUAAUCACAUAUUUAGUUAUACAACCUUUUGUUGAGUGUCUUUUGGCUUCUUCAAAAUUUAUUAUGCUAUCAAUUAAACUUUAGUGCCUUAAAAUACAUCACCUAAUUAACAUAGGAAGAGAGGUUCUUUCAUCUUCCCUCAACCUCAUCUUUUUAUAUUCUCUAUUAUCUAAAAUAUCUAAAAUAUUGGUGGAUAUUCUUUGUACAUAUUUCUUCAUCUUUCUAUUUAAAUCCAACAAUAUGUAAUAAUUAAUAAUAAUUAAUUAUAAGUCUUUUGAAAUAUUCAUUUAUUUUAUUAUGCUAGCAAUUAAACUUUAGUGGCUUAAAAUACAUGAAUUAAUUAACAUAUGAAGAGAGGUUCUUUCAUCUUCCCUCAACAAUGCCACUAGAGCCUAAUUUUAAUACCAUAAUCUCAUAUUUAAUUAUGCAACCUUUUGUUGAGUGUCUUUUGGCUUCUUCAAAUUUUAUUAUGCUAGCAAUUAAACUUUAGUGGCUUAAAAUACAUGAAUUAAUUAACAUAGGAAGUGAAGUUCUUUCAUUUUCCCUCAACAAUGCCACUAAGGCCUAAUUUUAAUGNNNNNNNNNNNNNNNNNNNNNNNNNNNNNNNNNNNNNNNNNNNNNNNNNNNNNNNNNNNNNNNNNNNNNNNNNNNNNNNNNNNNNNNNNNNNNNNNNNNNNNNNNNNNNNNNNNNNNNNNNNNNNNNNNNNNNNNNNNNNNNNNNNNNNNNNNNNNNNNUAUAUAUAUAUAUAUAUAAAGUUGGGACUACAAGAGGUGAUGUGGCAUCAUCAUUUCUCAUCUUCUCUAUUAUCUAAUAAAUUGGUUGAAAUUACAAAAUAAUUACAUUAAAAAUAUUAAAAAUAGAAAAUAAUUAUUAGAUUAUAAAUGAUUACAUGUCUUUUCCUCUUUCUAUUUAAAUUCAACAAUAUGUAACCAUUAAUAAUNNNNNNNNNNNNNNNNNNNNNNNNNNNNNNNNNNNNNNNNNNNNNNNNNNNNNNNNNNNNNNNNNNNNNNNNNNNNNNNNNNNNNNNNNNNNNNNNNNNNNNNNNNNNNNNNNNNNNNNNNNNNNNNNNNNNNNNNNNNNNNNNNNNNNNNNNNNNNNNNNNNNNNNNNNNNNNNNNNNNNNNNNNNNNNNNNNNNNNNNNNNNNNNNNNNNGUAGCUUAAAAUACAUCAAUUAAUUAACAUAGGAAGAGAGGUUCUUUCAUCUUCCCUCAACAAUGCCAUUAGAGCCCAAUUUUAAUGUCAUAAUCUCAUAUUUAAUUAUUUAAUCUUUUGUUUAGUGCCUUUUGGCUUCUUCAAACUCUAUAAACAUUAAAUAUUAAGAUUUAUGGCAUCAUUAUUUCUUCCUCUUUCUAUUUAAAUCCAACAAUAUGUAACCAUUAAUAACAAUUAAUUAUAAGUCUUUUGAAACAUUCAUUUAUUUUAUUAUGCUAGCAAUUAAACUUUAGUGGCUUAAAAUACAUCAAUUAAUUAACAUAUGAAUAAAGGUUUUUUCAUCUUUCCCUCAACAAUGCCACUAGGGCCUAAUUUUAAUGCCAUAAUCUCAUAUUUAAUUAUGCAACCUUUUAUUUAGUGCCUUUUAGCUUCUAUUUAUUUUAUUAUGCUAGUAAUUAAACUUUAGUAGCUUAAAAUACAUUAAUUAAUUAACAUAGGAAGAGAGGCUCUUUCAUCUUCCUUCAACAAUGCCACUAGGGCCUAAUUCUUCUUAUUCUAAAUUUAAGUUUCAUUUGCUUGUUAUCAUCAGCAACACAAGUCGAUCUUGUCAUCAUCAGCAACACAAGUCGAUUAUGAUGCAACUACCAUUAUAAUUAAUGAAGAAUGACGAGUUAUCUUCUCUAGUGCAAUUCAUUAUAUUUUCGCAGCAGUCCACAAGUACUGUAUGCAAAUAAUUAAUUUACAAUUUCUCAAAUCACUUGCACUUUCACAUUUUCUUUUUCUUUUAACCCAAAAAAAAGCUACUUUGCAGCGAAAAUAUUAUCUUAAUUUUUUUCCUAACAAGCCAAACAUGAUCCCACAUUCAAAACGGUGCGCUUUCAUGUUUAGGAAAAAUUAUGGGCAAUAUUUUUGGAUCCAACAUCAUUGUUAUUCUUUAAAUAUGUAAAAUUUGAUAUGAUUUAUUUCUAUAUGCGUUGUAUUUGUGCAGAUGUGGCCAGAUCUUAUACAGAAGGCAAAGGAUGGAGGGCUCGAUGCAAUUGAAACUUAUAUUUUGUGGAAUGCUCAUGAGCCUCAGCGUCGUCAGGUGCCAAUUAUUAUUAUUAUUAUUAUUAUUAUUAUUAUUAUUAUUAUUGAAAUAAACAUAUAAAAUUAACUUGUUUAAUCUUCCUUUUGAGAAGAGAUCAGAACGAUUUCUUAGGAAAUUUGAAUUUCAUCAAAUUUUUAAUUUUUAAUUUUUAAUUUUCAAAGCCGCGCGAAGCGCGGUUCUAUUUCCUAGUUUAUUUAUAAAUUUCACAAAUUACAAUAAUAUUAGAGCCCAACACGACACCUUCGAUAAUUACCACAUUCAAUAAAAUUGUAAAUACAAAAAAAUUAAUAAUUGGCUUUUAUUAGAUAUCAAGUAGGGUUUAAAUAGCUCUUACAAACUUUUAAAUUAUUUAACGAGUGAGCAAUCGGUCUUAUUUCCUUUGUUACUGAAUGUGAAUCGGCUAAUUCAAUUUGCCUAAGACUACUUUGGAGCUGCUUUAAAGUAGAACACGAAUCAUAACCAUACAUGUAAAAUAAUAAAAAAUAAAAAAUAUAUUACAAUUUUAAUCAUAUAGUUAUAAAAGCAUAUCUUAUAAUGGUUACAACAUAGCCCACCCAUUCAAUUUUCACCCAAAUAUUCCAGCUUCACGUGGCAAGAUAGGAAAUGUAACUUGUUAAAUCAAGGAUGUUACUUGCAUUGUCUGUAAAAUAGCAAGGCCCCAUUUUAUUUUAGUUUUUUGUUUAAACCACCCAGUUUGAAUCUCCACUAAUCCAAAUUGAGAAUAUAGUCACAGUUAAGAUUUCUUAUCCCUCUCAUAUAGUGUGUUUAGUGAGGAUCGAACCCAAAAGCUCUUCCCACUUACCCGCGUCAAAUAUUAGUGAUUAUUAAUUUAUUAUCAUGACAACGUAGCCGGAAGACAGAACCAUCAGAGUAAAAACGUAUAUCAAUAAAUAAGAAUCAAAAUAUAAAAGAAGACAAAAAGGAGUGAGGGAAUACCGUCGGUCUGAAUUAAAGGUUCUCUCUCAUGUUUCUUGGUCAUAGCUAGCAGCCAUACAUACAUCAAUGGAGAGCUUGGCUCUCUACUUGCCCAUAUUUCUGGCACUGUAUGUCCUCACAAAGCAAUGUUUAAACAAAAUCAGACGCCUCCCACCAAGUCCAUUUCUUGAGCUACCCAUAAUUGGCCAUCUCUACCUCCUCAAGCGACCAAUUCAUAGGACACUAUCCAAUUUAUCGAAGCGACACGGUCCCAUUCUCCUCCUCCGAUUCGGUUCUCGCCGUGUCCUUGUUGUCUCAUCACCACCAGCAGCCGAAGAAUGCUUCACCAAAAACGACAUCGUCUUCGCCAACCGCCCUUCCUUGAUGGUCGGCAAACACAUGGGUUGCAACUUCACGAGCCUCGCCUGGGCCCCAUACGGCGACCACUGGAGAAACCUUAGACGAGUCGCCUCGCUCGAGAUUCUGUCCUCUUCUCGUCUCCAACUCUCAUCUAAUAUUCGUGCUGACGAGGUCAACUCUUUGGUCCGCCGUCUCUUUCACAAUCAAUUGAUCGAAUCCGUUGACUUGAGGAUGGAGAUUUAUGAUCUCACAAUGAAUGUCAUGAUGAGGAUGAUCGCUGGAAAGAGAUAUUACGGCGCACACGUGGCGAAUCUCGAGGAAGCCCAGAGGUUUAAGGAGGUUCUUGCAGCGACUUUUAAGGUGGCUGCCGAGUCAAACAUUGGUGAUUUCUUGCCAUGGUUCAAGUCCAGGGACCUUGAGAAAAGGAUGAUACGGUGUCGGAAAAUGAGAGAUGAGUGCACGCAGUACUUGAUUGAAGAGCAUAGGAGGAAUAGGAGAAUACCAAGUAAUUGUUCUGGUGAUGAAAAGACAAUAGAGACCUUGAUUGAGGUUUUGCUGGCGCUGCAAGAAACUGAUCCUGAGUGCUAUAACGACCAGACCAUCGGCAGCCUCAUGCUUGUAAGCAUAUUCCCUCAUUUACCAUACAUCUUGGGAUAUGAUGUUGCAAUUAGUGUUUGAUAAUUUUUCGCUCUUGUAGGUGUUGAUAGGAGGAGGAACAGACACAACAACGAACACUAUGGAGUGGGCACUUUCGCUUUUGCUGAAUCAUCCGGAAAUCCUGAAGAAUGCUCAGAGAGAAAUCGACAAUCAAGUGGGUCAUGGGCGUCUGGUGGAUGAAUCGGAUAUGGCCCGACUUCCAUACCUUGGUAGCAUCAUAAACGAGACUCUGCGCAUGUACCCACCAGCACCGAUGCUGAUGCCUCACGAAUCUUCAGAUGAGUGUACGGUACUAGGGUACAGAAUUCCGCGUGGUACAACAUUACUGGUUAACAUUUGGGCCAUCCAAAAUGACCCCACGAUUUGGGAGGAACCAAGAAAGUUUAAACCUGAGAGAUUUCAAGGCCACCAAGGGGCCAGAGAUGGGUUCAGAAUGAUGCCAUUUGGGUCAGGGAGAAGAGGCUGCCCGGGGGAAGGAUUGGGCUUGAAGAUGGUCGGGCUGGCGUUGGGAUCACUGAUCCAGUGCUUUGAGUGGGAGAGGAUUGGUGAGGAAAUGGUGGACAUGGGAGAAGGGACUGGAGUCACCAUGCCCAAGGCCCGGCCUUUGCAAGCUAAAUGCCGCCCACGUCCGACAAUGGUUAGUCUCCUUUCACAAAUUUGAAGUUGCAAAUGUGUCUCGUCCUUUCUUUUUGGCCCCAAUAAAUGUACGCCUUUAACAUUUUACUUUAUCAAGAAAUUGUUGUUAGCAUAUUGCAUGGCUGUGUCAUUGUCACGUGUAUGUUUUUGUACGGGCAUGGAACAUGCUGCCAUAUGCAAUCAUUUUAUAAAACAAUUGCUAAGUUAUAUGAUCCUUACAAAAAUAUAUAAAAAAUUAUGAUAGGUGGUGGACAGAUAGUGAAACCUGCAUUAUUUUUGUACAGACUAUAAGUUACAGUAGUAGCUGUAACUUAACAGACUCAUUUUAUAAUAUUGUACUAUUGAAGUUAGAAAGCCACGAUACACGACGAUCUCUGUGAUUCAUUAACAAUUCGUAUAAUGGGGAACAGUAGGAAGUGUCCCAUCCAUGCAAGUCCGCAGCCUAGCUAGGACGGCAAAAUCAAUAAACUUUAUCAUUGUUAUCUUUUACACGUUCGAUGGCAUCCCCUUUUGUGCCAUAUGGCAUGCUUUAUGAUCCGUAACUUAAGCCAACUCCUGAAAAGAAUGGUGCUGAUCAGUAGCCAGUGCUCGUCACUUUUAUUCUUGUCGACCAAUGCUUGCCAAAAUGCAAAAGGCAUCACAUCCCAAAAGUUUCCUAUCAAUAGAAAUAGUAUUUCUAAGGAUCAAAUGUGGAAACUUGCUUCUGUUAGAGAUGAGAUGAGAUGAGAAUAAGGUGCCAAAUUCAACACAGGUGACGCCAUUCGAUUGAAUUUAUUUGCUUUUUAUCACAAAAACAAAGCAAAAGGAAGAAGAAGCAAUAAGCUAGCUGUUUCUUUUCUUUGAUUUCGUUUCAAUCGAUUGCCCAUGUCCACACCUACCUGUUGUUUGCUUAAAUCAGCAACGAAAAGCAUGGUGCUCACGCUCUGUACAGCAAACAUCAACGAAAACGCGAAAACUGUAUAUAAAAAAAGGAUAAUUUUUACGCUUUUCAAAUUUCAAGUAGUGUCUUGAUACUUUUUUCAUACGAAUAAGAUGGAAUAGGAUAAACAAACAACUAAUUUUACAAGUAGAAAGAAUGAGCCUUCAUAUAAGAAAUUACAUGCCAAGAUAAAUAAAAAAGUUACAAAUAUAUAAAAAUUAUCUAAUCCAAGAACCUAAGUUGGUAAAAAUUAUUGUACUACAUGAUGUACUAUUUAAAUGCGGAGCUAAGUCAAUACUUUAUAUAUAUAGAGAGUAAUAAUCUAACGAGAGUUAUAUUUAAUUAAAGUAUCUUAAAUGAUAAUAAAAACACGCACUCCAAAAAGCUAAAAAUACACUACAUUAGAAUAUACAUUUUUUUCUAUUUUUUAACUUAUUCAUUACUGCAUUGAAUAAAAGAAUCAUUCUUAGAUAACGUAUUUUUAUCAUGAGGAUUAAAAAAUCAUAUAAAUUUAAUAUUAACGAUAAUUUCUUCUAACCCUUCCCUCCGUGUCUUGAUAGCAAGUGCAACGCAGGCUUGAGUUUAGAAAAUUAUUUUGUGAAAUCAGCCGACGAAUGUAUGGGUGAGGACAAAAGUCACCUAUGUACGGAGAAAGCAUCUAACCAACUGCUUCCGUCUGUAAUUGCAAAUUACGCGAAAACAUGAAUAUGGUAAUUUUCAUUCGUUAUGACUUUGCACAAUACUGUGUCAUGUCAUAUAAUGUCGUCAAAAUGACAAAAUACCCGCACAAUCGAUGACGUGUCAUCUUCCAAUUAGCCAGACACCUCCGAUUGCAACAAACUUAACGUCUCAGGGAAAACGAAAGUUUAUUAUAAAUCGAGCGUCUUCCUUUUAACUCAAGUUUGACACGCAGACCGGCCGGCUCAACAGUCCUCAGAGGUGAGAUCUGUGGAACAGAAUCUACUGCCGAGUUUGGAAUAUUCCGUGCGUAGAUAAAACAAAGAAAGUGAAAAUGGACUCCUCCGAAACCCGAGAAGAAGAAAGCGGGUCCAAAGACAGCAAUGAAACCAACCGCCUCCUUCCAAUACCGUCACCACCAUCCUCAACGGAGGACGACGAGGAAGUCGCGUUCGAUUCACGAGAGAAAAUCUUGAUCGUCGACGCAGAUUCAGCCUCCACGUUGAACGUUGACGGUGACCAAGUGCCGCCUUUUUCGUGGAAAAAGCUUUGGUUAUUCACUGGACCCGGUUUCUUAAUGAGCAUAGCGUUUCUGGAUCCGGGGAAUCUGGAGGGGGAUCUCCAAUCGGGGGCGGUAGCAGGGUACUCGCUUCUUUGGUUGCUAAUGUGGGCCACCGUCAUGGGCUUGCUUAUUCAGCUGCUGUCGGCACGAGUCGGGGUGGCCACGGGGCGUCACUUGGCAGAGCUGUGUAGAGAGGAGUACCCCAAUUGGGCCCGAUUCGUGUUGUGGUUCAUGGCUGAAGUGGCCUUGAUUGGUGCCGAUAUUCAGGAAGUAAUUGGGAGUGCCAUUGCUAUCCAGAUUUUGAGUCACGGGGUCUUGCCACUAUGGGCUGGUGUCAUCAUUACGGCGUUGGAUUGGUACGUACUUUCAUACUUAAUUUGAUUUUAUUUGGAGUCCCCAGCGAUAAAUUUUAAGGCUAUUGUUUUAUAAAUAUUGAAUUUUUAUUUUUCUUUCAUGCACAUAACCAAUGAAGUUGAACUUUUGCUUUGAAGUAUUAAAGAUUUUGUGUUUGGUUACCUGGGUUGUAGAACCAGUGAAUUGAAGCUGCUUUCAAUCUGCAUUUUUAACGAAUUUGAUCGGAAAUUUGAGUGCUUGGCCAUUGUUCUAAAAUUCAGUACCUUUGCCUCAUUUUGAUAAUUGUUAGAGUUUGAUAUUUGAAUGAAACAUAGGAAUUCUUUUGUAGUCAUUAGAUGAUCUGAGGGAUUAUGUUCCAUUUUUUGAUAAUUUGUGUCUCCUGCUGCUCCUUGCUCCAGAGAAAAUGAUCUACACUAUUUUAACUAGAUUUUGUUUUUGUUGUUCUGUUUUGUGAACAGUUUCAUAUUUUUAUUUUUAGAGAACUAUGGAGUGAGGAAACUGGAAGCUGUUUUUGCUGUAUUAAUUGCAACUAUGGCUUUAUCGUUUGCUUGGAUGUUUGGCGACACACAACCCAGUGGAAAAGAACUUUUAGUAGGUGAGAAACCUGUUAAGUUACAAAAUUUUAAUUCUCUGUUUUGGGGUAUUUUAUUGUUUGCUGUUCCUUUAGUUGUAACUUUGUUCUGAUCCUCCUUGUAGGUGUUUUGGUUCCAAGACUCAGCUCAAAAACAAUUAGGCAAGCUGUUGGAGUUGUGGGUUGUGUCAUUAUGCCUCACAAUGUGUUCCUGCACUCUGCUUUGGUACAAUCAAGGAAUAUUGAUCCCAAAAAGAAGGGCCAUGUUCAAGAAGCACUGAACUACUACUCAAUCGAGUCAUCUGUUGCUCUUUUAGUCUCCUUCAUGAUCAACUUGUUUCUAACAACUGUUUUCGCCAAGGGAUUCUAUGGCACUAAGCAAGCCAAUAGUAUAGGACUGGUUAAUGCUGGGCAGUAUCUUCAGGAGAAGUACGGAGGAGGCUAUUUACCAAUUCUUUACAUCUGGGGUAUUGGAUUAUUGGCAGCUGGACAAAGUAGUACAAUAACUGGCACGUAUGCUGGCCAGUUCAUCAUGGGAGGUUUCCUCAACCUUCCUAUGAAAAAAUGGCUGAGGGCCUUGAUCACAAGGAGUUGUGCAAUUGUGCCAACUAUGAUUGUAGCUCUUAUAUUUAAUACUUCUGAAGCUUCAUUGGAUAUUUUGAAUGAAUGGCUUAAUGUCCUUCAGUCAAUCCAAAUCCCUUUUGCACUUAUCCCUCUUCUUACCUUGGUGUCCAAAGAGCAAGUCAUGGGAGUCUUCAGAAUUGGACCUGUUCUUGAAGUAAGCCGUCAACUUCUCUAAUAUGCUAUUUAGGCACUAAUAACUUUUAUUUGAGUGGCCACAUAUUGUUGCUAGCUAAUACAUUAGAUGAUUUAGAUUUUUGUUUGUUUAUCAUGACAAGAUCUAAAUCACAUCUUCAUCUUCACUAGGCAUCUACAUGUACAUGCAUAUAUAUAUAUAUAUUUAUUUAUUUAUAUCCACAUUUUCUUAAAAUUUGGUACUGCAACUCUUUGUAUCGAAGUCAAAAUUUGCUCAACUCUCUUUAGCAAUGUGUUUGAGUCCACAAUAUUUUAUCUUUUUGCAAAUUCGUAUGCAACAAGGUCAUUGUCCAGAUUUCAAAAUGUGUAGAUGUCCGCAUGAGAAGGUAUAUUUGUGCACAAAAAUUAUCUGGUGCCAACUGCAGUGAUUGCCCUAUUUUCUUGAAACUGUGGAAAUAUAAAAAAAUUGUACAUUAGCAUCAUUAUUAGUAGAUAAAGAAGUUGAAUAUGUUGACAUUUGGACUGUUCAGGUAGAAUGAGAUUAGAGUUAUGAAGCGGAGCAGGGUAAUGCUAAAAAUUUGUGAUGAACCAGUAAAGAAAUGUCUGGAAAGGAGUGAGGAUCUAUCUAUAUGUUGGAGUAUCCAUGUGAAACAGAAUUCCAUCUGUAUAGAUAUAUGCUAAAUUUCCGAGUUAAGUAACUGAAGUCCAAUUAAAUCUUGAACUAAACCAAAAAUUUUGGGAGCAAUGAUUUCCCUUUAACUUUUAGAACAUUUUCCAAGUGGGAAUCAAACUUCAAUUAUUUUUAUGUUUUCAUGAUGUAUAUGAUCAUUUUCAGUUUAGUCAUGUAGGCAUCAGCAUAACUGAUUGAGCACUCCACAUGUGGCUUAAAAUCUAAGUUAAAAUAUUUUGUUUAUUGUUUUGUAGAGGUUGGCCUGGACUGUUGCUGCCCUGGUGAUGGUGAUUAAUGGUUACCUGUUGUUGGACUUCUUUGUUUCCGAAGUUAAGGGACUGCUGUUUGGAUUUCUGGUCUUCACUGGGACUGCUGCCUAUGUAGCUUUUAUAAUAUAUCUGAUUACGCGUGGCAGUGACCUUUCUUCUAAUUGUUUCAGCUUAGAAAUGUCAAAGAGAUACUCAAAUCCCGGAAAUUGACUCUAAAAGAUGAAGCUCCACAUCUCUGUCACAUAAAGUGGGAAGAUUGUGGAUCAGCUGUGCCAAAAGGAAAUUAUUCAUUUAGCAUGAUAAUCUCUAACCUCCAUCAUACAAUGAUUAAAACAGCUUCAAACCAUCGAAGCAGUCAGCUGUAACUACAAUUUUUGCACAGUAAGAUACACAGAAAUCAUGUUCAUUCAUUAAUCGCGAGAGGAUAUUCUUUUCUCUUUUCUAAGUGGGAUGAGAAAGCUUCAUUAUAGGUUACAACCUGCGAGAUAAAGGACUUAAUAUUGUGAUAGAACCAGUUCGCCAAGUAAAUUCAGAAUCAAGCGCUUAGUUAUUCUUUGAUGUAAUAGCUUUUGUAUGUAUCAUAAUCAAAAUGAUGUUGUUUUCUAGUUCCUGAAGAAGGGACUGCUCAACACAACAAGAGAAUGAAUUUUGCAAUCCUGUCCGGCUUCUGCCAUUUUUUUUUUCCCUUGCUCUUUUUCUUUUUGUAUGCGUAAUUGUUGAGCUUUACCGAAGUAAAGAAGCGUUGAUUUUGCUCGACUUUCCUAGUAACUACCUCAAUGAAUCAGCGGCCUCCUAGAGUUGGAAGGUACGCGCAAAUUGACUGGUCAUUAAGAGAUAGAUUAGUUAGUCUAUGACGAUAGAAUGGAUUGACCGGGAGAUAUUAUUACACUGAAGCGUGUUGAAAAGCUUUUAAAAAUUACCCUAAAUUCAAGCGCAAUAAUCGUAAGACAUUUGAAAGAUGUUGAUUCUAUGUAUAUCAUCCGUGAUUUUCCAGUCUAGUCUCUCUCUUUUUUUUUUUUUUUAAAAGAAAGUUUUGAUUAUUCCAAAUUAUCAUUUUAUCUUCUUAAAUUUAAACAUAAUUAAAUUUCAUCUAAAUUAAAAAAAAAUAAUAAUAAUCCACUUAAAACUAAGUUAGUUCUACACGAAAGCGGUAAUAGUUUUGAAUAAAUAUAUAUAAAUUUAUGAAAUUGCAUGCUAACCAUUUAAAUUUAAUGAAAUAGCACGCGAAUUAAAAAAAAAAAAUUAAGGUUGUAAGAUUUGAUGGUAGAAAGGACCAUAAUAAUUAAUAAUGUUUUAUCUUUUUAUUUUUUUAAUUUUAAGGGAAAUAUAGGAGGGGAGAAAAGUAGCAUAAAUGUUUAAUAAAAAUAUUGAAAAAGAAAGCAAAUCCUGCCGUGCGAUGUAAAACAAAAACGAAACAAAAUCAACUGUCUUGCCAUUGGUCCCGCAGAAGCAACAAUUUCCUAGGCAGCAGCAGACGUGCGCCACGUAAAGAAAGUCCCUCUCCCAGUCUCCGUCUAUACGCAUGUAAAGAGUUUCCAUAAAUUGCAUGCAAACGGCAAAGAGUGUUUCGCAUUAUGACUCGCGAGUCUCACUCUCCAUAUAUAUAUCUCUCUCUCUCUCAAGUUAAUCGCUUUCCUACUGCAUUCAAAAACCUUACCAAAUACUAAACUUACUCAAAUCCUACACGAACCAAAUCUCCUCAUUAAUAUCUUUUGCUCCUCAGUUUAUUUCGAAUGCCAUUAUAAACCCUCUUAAAAACCGAAAAAGAAAAAAACCCUUCAAGAGUCGAGACCCUCACAAGUGAUCUCUCUCUCUCUCUCUUUCUCUCUUUCUCUCUCACGCACACGCUUCUUCAUCAUUGAUGUUAAACUCUCCCGGUAACCGACAUUUGCGGGAUGAAACGACGCAUUUUGGGUCUCCUUCCCGUGGAUUACCGGCUACCCAUUUCCGCCGUCCGCGUCAAGAAAGCCCUCGCCUCCCCAACACUUCUUUAAGCGAAAAAUCCUAUUUUGAUGAAACUGAUUUAUCUGCUUACUUUUCUCAUCUCAAUGUCAACGAUCGGAUUUUUGAUAACCCCGUUUACCAUUUUCCGCUUGUUGAAAAUGGUUUCUUUUCUCAUCCUUGCCAAGAAGCAGAACAAAUUAACCAAGAUUCAUCCAUUUUGAAUCUUCUACAUAAUCAUAAUUUUGAUGGGUUACGCUCUAACGGAAAUGAGUUAUCCUCGGUGCCAAGAAACCAAUGGAUGUCCAGUUUGAGUCUUAAGAGAAAUCAAUGGUUGCAGGAUUCAUUUGAUUGUUCAUCUUUGAGAGAUUUGAGGGGCAACAUUGUGGCUUUAGCCAAGGAUCAAUAUGGUUGUCGCCACCUACAGCGGACUAUGAGUAGCUUGCCGAAAGAGGAAAUUGAGAUGAUUUUCGUGGAGGUGAUUGAUCGUGUGUGUGAGUUGAUGAUUGACCCAUUUGGGAAUUAUGUUGUACAAAAGCUUGUAGAGUUAUGUAGUGAGGAACAGAGGACUCGUAUUCUUCUUAUGCUGACCAACAAUGAUUUUCAACUUGUCCGGAUUUGUCUUAACACUCAUGGGUAUGUUUUCUUUUCUUUCUUGUUGCUUGUUUGAAUUGUCUCCGAAAAUGAUGAUGACUCGGGCAUGUUACUGUUCGAUUGAAACUAAUUAAUGUUUUUGCUGUUCUUACUUUCGUUGUGUAGGAUUCGUGCUGUACUGAAAUUGUUAGAGAAUCUUACUAAUCCACAGCAAAUAUCAUUGGUUAUAGCAGCUCUACGACCUGGGGCAGUUGCAUUGACUAAGGACACCAAUGGUCAUUAUGUGAUCCAGUAUUGUGUGAAACAUUUCUCUCACGAAGACACUAAAGUAAUUUCAAUUUAAACAUGCCAUUGUUAUUUAUUUUUAUUGUGUUAAAAUUUAAACAAAGCUUCAUGUGGAUCCUUUUAGGAUCACUUCUGUUUGGAUUAUUGAUUCAACCUUGCCAUUUGCUGUGCCAUUUUUAAUACGUUUAUAGGAAUAAUUUCACUUUCUAGCCAAGGUAGAAUAUUGUUCAAGGACUUGAUAUCAUUUCUUUUGAUUUUGGAAGGUUAACUGAUCAUGAAGGUAAUGUCUUUAUAGGAAUAAUAUGGGUUUUACUUCAUUGAUUAUGAAUGUUGCCAUACAGUUAUUCUAGUUCAAAUCAAAAUAAAUACUUAUAAAAAAAAUUCAAAUCAAAAUAAAUAAAUAAAUACUGUUCCUGAGAUGUGGUAAACUUUUUAGUAGCUUCUUGAUUCUUAUUAGUGGCUAUUUGAUGGACUAAUGGGUUGUGAGUGCCCUUUUGAGAUUUUUUUCUUUUUUUCUUUUUAUUUAAGACCAUCCUGUUUUUGUAUGUAAUUGAAGUAAAAUGUUCAUUAACAUCUUUUGGGGUCCAGACCUUCAUUGAUGCUGAUUAAGUUUAAAGGUGGAUUGAAGCUUAUCUAAUGUUGACAACAAAAAGUGCUAUAUAUACAAUGUUGAUGAUGCUUUACCAACAAACUUCUUUUGCUGAACUUCUUGCAAUUGCUUUUGCUACUAGUGUAUCUAUGUGUGUAACUUAACAUGCUUAGAAAAUAAUAGUUUAUGAUUUGGAGUCUCAUAAUGAAUGUGUUUAGCAACUGAUGGUUUGGAUUAUCAGAAAAUUUUUGUCUAAGCGAGUAAUUGUUCUGGCAUCUGACAACAAAAAGUACUAUAUAUACAAUGUUGAUGAUGCUUUACCAACAAACUUCUUUUGCUGAACUUCUUGCAAUUGCUUUUGCUACUAGUGUAUCUAUGUGUGUAACUUAACAUGCUUAGAAAAUAAUAGUUUAUGAUUUGGAGUCUCAUAAUGAAUGUGUUUAGCAACUGAUGGUUUGGAUUAUCAGAAAUUUUUUGUCUAAGUGAGUAAUUGUUCUGGCAUCUGACAAUAAAAAGUACUAUAUAUACAAUGUUGAUGAUGCUUUACCAACAAACUUGUUUUGCUGAACUUCUUGCAAUUGCUUUUUCUACUAGUGUACCUGUGUGUGUAACUUAACAUGCUUAGAAAAUAAUAGUUUAUGAUUUGGAGUCUCAUAAUGAAUGUGUUUAGCAACUGAUGGUUUGGUUUAUCAGAAAAUUUUUGUCUAAGCGAGUAAUUGUUCUGGGAUCAAAAAUAUUUUUUUUGGGGAGAUUUGCAACCUAGCCUGCCCUUUUCUUUGCAUUUCGACAUAUAUAUGAUUCAAAGGAUGUGUAUAAAUGCCUCUUGAAAAUAUGUAAACUUGUAUAAAAUUUGAGACUCUGCAAGCUUCAUCGUUUAGAGGCUGCUUUUCAAUUGAAUUGCGCCCCGCGGGGUGGGGUGUUCUCUUUGAAUUGUUUCUGUUGCAAGUUUGGGAUGGAUGGAGACUGCUAUAACUCCAUUUAAAUAUGUACUAGAGGAAGGGAAUGAGAAUCUCUUGACAAUUAAAACUGAUUGAUUACUUCUGUUUUUACUUCAUGUUUUUUGGUGUUCCUCAUCUGUUUCUUGCUUUCUGCGAUAUAAAAAACUAAGUGCUUCAGGAGUACCUAAAUUUUUGGUACAAUGAAAUCUAACAGAUUGUUACUUAUGUGCACAGUGUGAAGUUGAUUAUAGGGAUGUAGUUUCUUCUUUGAAAGAGGAAAUGAAAUAAUUGAUUUUUCUGCUACACUUUUUGUGCGAACAAGUUUGCUAUUUAAUUGAACAUUGUCUGACCAUUGGGCUUGGUUAGAUCAUGGAGUCUAAUCAGUGUGCUGCGGCAUGCAUCAAAGCAGGUCAAAAUGCUUUAUUAUCUAUGCAUGUGCUUAAAAUAACAUGAAUGAAGGGCAGUUUACAAACUUAUAUGGAGAACUAGUUUAUGAGACGAUAGUGUGAUUUCUAGUAAAUAAGCACUGGUCUUCAUUUAGCACUGGUGAUCAUUGUGUGAGUCAAAUGAAACCAAUACUAGGACCCACUUUCUCUUAGUUUAAAACUAGACUUGAACAAGUCAUGUUUCUGACUUGUGAAGUUCUGACAAUUUUGGCAGUAUCUAUUGAAUGAGGUGGCAGAUAAUUGCUAUGGAAUUGCAACAGACAAAAGUGGGUGUUGUGUGUUGCAGCAUUGUGUUGAAUACUCUAAGGGGGCACAACGAGAGCGUCUGGUGGCAGAGAUAAUAGCAAAUGCACUACUGUUAGCAGAAGACUGUUAUGGGUUUGUUUCCAUAAACUCUUAUGCUUGUCGUGAUGUAGUUGAUAGAGAAGCAUAUCAACUUGUUGCUGAAGUUAACAUCAUUUUCCUCUGUAGACACCUAUCUAUGGUUUAAUUCUAGCCUGAUUGUGAUAUAAGCUUGAUAUGCUUCUAUAUUAUUGUUUUCCUCCAGCAACUACGUGGUGCAACACUUACUGGCACUGAGGGUACCACAGAUAACAGCAAGUCUUCUGAGACAACUCGAAGGGCACUAUGUAUCUUUCUCCUGCAAUAAGUAUGGGAGUAAUGUCGUAGAGAGGUGCUUGUUAGAAUCAGGAGAAGAGCAGUCAACGAGAAUUAUUAUUGAGCUGCUAAGGAGUCCUAAUGUUUCUAUGCUUCUUAUGCAUCCUUUUGGAAAUUAUGUUAUCCAGUCCGCUUUGUUGGUCUCUAAGGUUAGACUUUUCUCAUCUCCUCCCAUAUCUGUGUGCAAACCAGGUUAAAUCAGCAAAGAAAAUUCGACUCUAAUUCUGUAGGCUGUCUGAUUAUUCAAAUUGCUUGGUUUGGCUUUGAGACAUGACUCAAUCGUCAUAAAGCUUAGUAAACAUCAAAAGACACAGCUAAUUAAAAAACUUAUGCUAGAAUAAGUCGGAGGCUCGAUUUACAGUUUCCGCGCUCUUUACUAUUUUCAUAUUAAAGAUUAUGAAUAACUCCUUACAUAUGGCUGCAAGGAUUUUAAUAACUUUUCUGAUACAGCAGGGUUUUGUCCACGAUGCUUUGCGUUAUCUCAUUAGAAUAAACUCUCCAAUGAUGCGGAGCAAUAUUUACGGCAAAAAGGUGCUUGCUUGGUUCCAGAAGAGGAGGCUGCCAUAUAUAUAGAGAGCUGUUUUCUGGCAUGUGUAGGUCUCACCCAUUUGUUCGAGAAAUAUUUUCGUGUUCUUUUUGGCUGUUUGAAUCAAUUGGUUGUAGUAGUAUUUGUUUGUCAGUGUUGGAGUUGUAGUCUGUCAUUCUAAGUUGUAAGUUGAGGUUGUAACAUUUGUUGUCAGUGUUCGAGUUGUAGUCAGUCUGUCAUUUUAGGUUGUAAGUUGAGAUGUGAGAAAGGUUAUAUAAUUUGCAAUUUUUCGAUCCAUUCGGGGAAUUUGAAAGGAAAUGCAGCAGCAGCAGUAUCUUUUAAAACUGUAAACUGUAUAUUUCCCGCUGGUUGUUCUUGUAUACAGAUGUGCGGUUGAGUUGAAAAUAAAAGCAUAUUGAUUAUUACUAGUCUUCGUUUAAAAAAAAAAUAAAAAAUUGGAUAAUUAGUCUUCGUUUAAAAGAAAAAAAAUUGGAUAAUUAGUCUUAAAUCGUCAAUUGAAAAAUGAUGAUACGUCUGUUUGAAAAUCCGUUACAAGUAUUUAUCUUAUUUAUUAAACGUUGACUGCAGCUUAUAAAAAUAAUUUACAUGCUGCAACGUGGCGUCUUGUUAUUGACCAAUAAAGAAAAGCUUUCUCAAAUUAAUCGCAAAGUUAUUGACUUGGCAAACCUCGUCUUCCCUUUAAAAGAAGAGAAGCCCAGGAGUAGGAGGAUCCUCAUUCUUCCCGUUGACCGCCAUGGCUUCUUCUUCGCCUUCGCUCUUCGUCGGUUUCUUCAUUAUAAUCGGAAUCAAUCUCAUCGUCACCGCCGGUUCGUUGAAAAAUUUCAAAUUUGAUCAGCAACCGUUGAUUAUACCUCUCCAUCUCUCCUCACCUAAUUCUACGGUGCACCGCCACGCCGAUGAUCGACGCCGGCACCUGCUGCAGGCGCAGCUGUCUCGCAAACCAAAUGCUCGCAUGCGUCUCUACGACGAUCUCCUUUCCAACGGGUGGGUAUAAAUUGUAUAUAAUAUAUUUCAUUUGAAUUCAAUUCAAUUUGGUUUUAAUAUUUUAUUUAUUUAUUUAUUAAUGUAUUAGUUCUGUUACAAAAUUUGAGAUUUUUAAUUACUUGCAGUUACUACACCACGCGGCUAAAUAUCGGGACACCGCCCCAACAGUUCGCUCUUAUUGUGGAUACUGGGAGCACUGUGACGUAUGUUCCUUGCUCCACCUGUCAACAUUGUGGCAGGCAUCAGGUUCGUUCGUUGCCGUAACAAAGUCUCUACAAUUCAGCUGCGUAUUGUGUAAAUCAUUUUGUUUGUUUAUUUAUUUAUUUUGUUUAUUAACACUUUUUUAUAUUGAAUUCGGCUUCUGGUUGUAGAAUAAUUGUAAGAUAACCAUUUAUGUAAUAUGAAUAAGUUCAUGAUAAAGUAAAUGAAGUUUUGCGUUAACCCUGCUUUGUCGCUGAGAAAUUAGCAUGAAAAAGGAAAAUUUGUUGAAUGUAUGUCUAAUUUACGUAAAUUGAUAAGAUCCACGGGAUAGAUUCUCAUAAGUUUAUAUUAAGUUCUCAUUUUGUUUCUUUUCCCCCUAUAUCCUUUGAAACCAAGCAAAGAAUGAGUGAUUCUAUUGAUACAUUUUGUUAUUCGUUCAUUUUUUUCGAUCAGAGAGGUUGGUGUGGAAGUUGUGUAAUAUAUUUGUUGGUUGAAAACUAAUCCUUAGUUUAUUUUUAUUCAGGAUCCAAGAUUCCAAACCGAAAUGUCUAACACCUAUCAAGCAUUAAAAUGCAAUCCUGAUUGUAACUGUGACAAUGAUAGAAAGGAUUGCAUUUAUGAGAGACGAUAUGCUGAGAUGAGCUCCAGCAGUGGUGUGCUUGGGGUGGACGUUAUUUCUUUUGGCAAUGAAAGUGAACUCGUGCCUCAGCGUGCUGUUUUUGGCUGUGAAAAUUUGGAAACCGGUGACCUUUACACCCAACGUGCUGAUGGAAUAAUGGGUUUGGGUCGUGGCCGCCUUAGUGUUGUGGAUCAACUUGUUGAAAAGGGUGUUAUUAGUGAUUCGUUUUCAUUAUGUUAUGGGGGGAUGGAUGUCGGUGGGGGUGCUAUGGUCCUUGGUGGGAUCACUCCUCCACCAGAUAUGGUAUUCUCCCAUUCAGACCCUUUCCGCAGGUAAGUUGCUCUUGCAACAUUUUAACUGUGGCGAUGCAUUUUUUAUAGGAAUGCAUCUAGUGGAUCUCACACAUUCACUGUAGUUUUUGGCUGGCAACAGUCCGUAUUACAACAUUGAGCUUAAGGAAUUACGUGUAGCUGGCAAGCCAUUGAAGGUAAGUCCAAGGAUCUUUGAUGGAGGGCAUGGAACAGUUUUGGACAGUGGAACUACGUAUGCUUACCUUCCAGGACAUGCUUUUGCUGCUUUUAAGGAUGCCGUAAGUUUUGUUGGCUCUGAUUUCCUCAUCUAAUAGUUCAGUUUCCAAGAUCAAAUUCAUAUUUUAAAAAUAUGAUCUUUGAUAUUUGUAUUCUUUCCUGACUGAGAUUUAUGUAUCCCUACUGAAGGAACUGGUUAUUGAGAAAGGCUUAAUCAUUUUUCUUUAUUCUACAUCUGAGGCCUGAAAACAUAUGCUAUCCAGUUAUAUCAAAUGAUUUUUUUUUUUUUUUUUUUGGGGGGGGAAACUCAUUUAGGUAUUGUAUACUAAAUCAUAUUGGUGGCAAUAGAGAGCUGGAAUCAUCUGCAUUUAAAUAUUUCAUUGUCUGAAACUGUGAAACUUAUAUUUUUCACUCAUCUAGAUUAUGAAUUUUGUUAAUAUGUCUGUUGAAAGAAUUCGCCAUUGAGUGCUUGUGAGUUACUGCAUUCAUGAUAUUGAUACCAUGAGCACUUUUAGGCCAUCAACGCAUUAGUCCUUAUUUAAAUCACACAACUAAAUGUUGAGGAUGUUACAAGAAAUUUGUCAUUUCCAUUUUGGCAUUUCAACAUUGUUGCUUAAUCUUAGUCUAUUAUCACUCUAUUUGAACGAGUCUUCUUAUGGUACUAGUUCAUAUUGACAUAUUAUGCCUCUGUGGUAUGUUUAUAUUGCUGGCUUUAUGGUGUUAGAUUGUGGGAAGUUCCUCUUCUUCCAAUUUCUAUCCUUAUGUCAGAGUUUUAUCUUUUGCAUUAAAACUUUAGGUUUUUUUUUUUAAAAAAAAUUAAUAUUUUUCAUGGUAUUGAGCUGAAGCUAAAACUAAAUGUCAAUGGAAUAUGAAAUGGACUUGAAUUGUAGAUACUUGCAUGCAUUAAGUUUCUGCAGUGGGUCUGGUGGUAUUUUUUGUUCUGUCUCCCUUAUUAUUUUUACUAUGAUAUUCUGAAUUCCUAGUUUACAUUUAUCUAUAUGUGUCCUUUCAUUUGAACUAUAAAUUCAUGGUUAUCUUUAUGUGUAUAAAUGCAGCUUAUAAAAGAAACUCAUGUUCUGAAACGGAUCCGCGGUCCUGACCCAAAUUAUGAUGAUAUGUGUUUCUCUGGUGCUGGGAGGUGCUGUCUUUAUUAAACAAUGAUCUUGCAUUUUUUACUUCUCUAUGGUCAAUAUUUAUGUCUGAUUGUGUAUGUUAUGUAAUUAGGGAUGUCUCCGAGCUAUCAAAAACUUUUCCGCAGGUUGAUAUGGUAUUCGGCAAUGGACAGAAAUUGACUUUGUCUCCAGAAAACUAUUUGUUCCGGGUAAUUUAUUGAUCUUAGUGCUCUUGAUGACAAACUAGCUUCCAUUUGUUCUCAAAAUCCUUUAAAGUGGUUUCAGGAUGUUUCUACAUUAUCUUCUAUUGUUGAUUUUUAUUUUAUUACUCUCCCUCACAUUUCUCUAUAUGGCAUGCUUUUGUAGCAUAUGAAAGUCAGUGGUGCUUAUUGCCUGGGUAUUUUCCAAAAUUCAGAUUCAACAACUCUUUUAGGAGGUACAGAAUAUUGUUUGCUGCUCAACACCACCUGCAUCCAUCCCCCUCCCCCUGUCUGGCAUACUGCCUAUAAUACAAUCCUUAUGAUUUAAUCAAGCGUGUAUGAUGUGAUGUGCAGAAAAAAUAAACUUCUCUAACACACACAAAAAAACCAAAAAAAUUUUUAAAAAAAUCCCCACACUAGUGCAAAUGCACCUAGGGAUUUUUCCUAACUAUUGCAUAUUUGAGACAGGAAUUGUUGUCCGUAAUACACUAGUAACAUAUGAUCGGGGGAAUGAUAAGGUAGGCUUUUGGAAAACAAAUUGUUCUGAGCUAUGGAGGAGACUGCAGCUACCCAGUGUUCCUGCCCCACCACCUUCGAUUUCCUCUAGCAAUGAUUCCAGUAUAGGAAUGCCUCCUAGGCUAGCCCCAGAUGGACUGCCGCUGAAUGUUCUUCCAGGUAGAAUCACUUUGCAGAAUGUAGUUGGCCUUUUCGGUUCUCCUUAAAUACUGAUAUGCAUUGAAUGUUGAUUCUUUAAGCAUGUUACUGGGUUAUUACUAUCAGUUAUAUAUUGUUUUUGGUUCCUUAGUUCAUUUUCUUGCAGUAUGCGGUGAAUUGUGACUUUGUAUGAUCGUUAUUUAGGCAAAUGUAUACACUAUCAACAUGACUUCAAGCUAUCAGCUUCUUCUUCGAUACUGUUGUUGAUGAGAGCUGUACUGAAAAGUGAAAAUGAAUUUUUAAAAUUUAUUUCCUUGAAAAUUUAUUGUGAAAAAUAAGAUGUUCCAAUAGAAUAUUCUCCCAUUUUGGAAUGGAUAUACUUCUUGAAAGUUACAACAAUUUGUUGAUUACAUUUAUAUCAAUAGUUUGCUUAAUAUGAUAUCCUGACAACUUUUCUGGGCCUAUUCCUGGAUAGUAAGAUAGGCGACAGUAUUACUGUUAAUUCCUCAUUUCCAUUAAUGAUUUAUAGCAUGGUAAUCUGACCAGAAUGAAAUAUUGAUUUUUACUUUUUGAUUGUUUACAUGCAAUUGACACUUGCUUUAUUUUUCAAGUGUUGGAUCCUUAUUAUUGAGUAUGACAUCUAAUCAGUGUGUACACCUCUCUGGGGAUAGAUUAUGGUUUCUUUAAUGACCUUUAUCGAAAUGGACCUUAAUCGAGUAUGUCCAGGGAGGUAGUUUAAUUUUUGACCUAGUAUUUGCAUCCAUUGAAUGAUUUCCUCAAGCUUCAUGGAUCGAUAAUUAUGACUAUGGUCAACAUUGCAUCCAAAUUUUAGCAUGGUAAUUAUAUUGAGGUUUGAUUCCAUAAUUUUGCUUAACCUUAGUUUCUCUAAUAUAAUGUUGCCUCCUUUGAUGUAUGACAUAUAGGUGCUUUUCAAAUUGGAGUUAUAACAUUCGAUAUGUCAUUUAGCCUUAACAACUCGCACAUGAAGCCCAACUUCACAGAACUUUCGGAGUUCAUUGCCCACGAGUUACAAGUUGACGAUAUAGAGGUAUAAAAUUACUUUGCCUUGUUUUAGUGUAAGUUGCAUUGAAACACUGUGGUUACAAAGCUACUCAAUUAAUGUUGGUUUUGAUUCUUAUUCAGUAAUAUGUUAGGUUAUUGAUUUUUCUUUUUUCUACUCAACAAUCAAAGGCAAGUGUUUCUGUUUUAUCGGCCCUUACAAGUCUAACAAGUAGUUUAAGUUAAUUACUUCUUAGCUUUAAUGUUUGGUGUCUCAACAAAUUUCAGCUGUUGAUUCUAGGAUUUAUGGCCUAAAAUGGAAUCAUUGAUUUUAAAUAGAUCUUGAACCUGUUUUGCCAGUCUAUCUCACAGCAUUUUGGUGUCUCCAAGUUUCACUUUGCUCUGGAUACUGAAUUUUGUUAUCUGUCUUCCGUUUAUUUCCAAUGUUUGGAUUUCAGGUUCAUUUGCUGAACUUCUCAUCCAAAGGACAUGAUUACCUGGUUAGAUGGGGCAUCUUUCCAGAUGAAUCUGACAAUUACAUUUCCAACACAACAGCAUUGGUAAUACAAUGAUUGCUAUAUCAACUGCUUCCUUACCUGUUUAUUAACUUAAAUGUUUACUUUAUUGAUCAAAUACCUAUCAUAUUUAUUGUCAUGUGCAGAACAUAAUUCUGCGGUUAAGGGAACAUCAUAUGCAGUUUCCUGAGAGAUUUGGCAGUCACCAGCUGGUCAAAUGGAAUAUUGAGCCUCAAAUUAAGCAGUAUGUCUUUAUCUUAAGCUAAGAAAAAUGAACCACCAAGGAGGGGAAAAAAAUUACCUAUCUCUAAUUGCAACAUGUUUUUGGCAGUUCUUUUUCUUAAACUAAGCUGUAUGUUUUUUACCAUUCUUUAUCGUUAAAAUUAAGCAUCUUUUCAAAGCAUUAGGGCUGUUGGACGUGAUAAGCAUUAAUCUUUGCUACUAAUGACCUGUGGUGUCUCAAAUCAUACCCAAGGCCUUGCCUAUGUGGAUUUAGUUGGGUUGGCUAAAAAUACCAUGUGGAUUAUUAUUUCAGUUUUUCUUCUUUGCUGCUGUACUGGCAUUGUGGAUGAAUACCCGAUACGAUUUCUUUCAGCUUUAUUUUGAACCAGUUGAUGCCUUAAAUGUUUGCUGUAUUCUUCACUGCUGCUUAUUUUCUUUUUCACAUUGGUUGUUAUGGAGCAUUUCAGGACAUGGUGGCAGCGGCACCUUGUUGCUGUAGUUGUUGGAAUAGUUGUCACCUUACUUCUUGGUUUAUCUAUUCUUGGGCUAUGGUCAGUAUGGAAACGGAGACAAGAAGCAUCUAAAACAUAUCAGCCUGUUGGUGCGGUUGUUCCCGAGCAGGAGCUUCAGCCACUUCAAUCUUGAAAGUUCUUUUCCGGCUUUUGAUUAUUAUUCACGGUUUCUUUGCAAUUUGUUGGUUGAGUGAGUAAAUCCUCUGCUACUGAGCUUCCCAUACAGGUUGAUUUUGUUGGCUCAUCAAAGAUGGCCUUGUGAAGGGAUAGGAAAUUUGUAAUCCUCCUUAAUGUUGUACAAUCAAAAGAAAACGCGAAGGGGGGAAAUAGAGAAAAUGUUGAUAUAAUUGCUCAUAGUUCAUAGUUUUUGAGUUGUACGUCUGGCUAUAGACGAUCUACUGCUAGUAGUAAAAGGCAAAUCAUAGUUGUCUUUUUCUUUUCUAUUGCCGGCUAGUGGCACAUAAAAUCCUUUAUUUUGCUUAUUUAUUGCUCCAGCCAAAAUUUGUUUGGCACCAGAAUAAGAAUGUAAUUUGGUGGAGUUUAAUGAACAGUUAAAUCCAAAUACCAAAACAGAGCCACUAAAUCAAAGUACCAUUGUUGGUGGAGGUAGAUUCUCUUUAAAGGAGAGCAGAGCAAUUUGACUAUCAACUGAGACUAUCAUCGUCGAAGAUUAGGCUUCAGUACUGAGGUUUUUUUUUUUUUAGUUAAGCAAAAAAUUAAGGGUCAAGAUUUAUUUUAUAUCUUAACUUCUUUAUUUCUCUUACUUAAUAAUUAUUAAUUCAAUACUCAUUAAAAAUUCAGCUCAGCACUAAAUUCUUAUAUUAAAAAAAUAAUUUAAUUUAACUUUUUAAAUAUUUAUUUACUUAUCUACAUGAUAAAUAAAAGAAUGAAAAAAAAAAUCAUUUUUCAAGAGGCCCUUUAAAUAAAAGUAAGUACAUAUUAUUUAAUCAAAAAAAUUUUCUACAAAAAUAAUAGUAAUUAUAAUAUUUCUCUCUUUUCAUUAAUUAUGAGAUAAAGAAAUAAUAUAUACUAAAUUAAAGGUUUAAACCUCUCCAAACAAGAUUUUUUAAAUGAGAUUGUGUUAUCUUCUUUUUAAUAUUAAAGAGAGCGGAACAUUAUCUUAUUUAAAUGAGCUUAUUUCAAAAUACUAGAUCCUGCACAAUUAAAUUUGAAUUAAAUUACAAGAGUUCAAAUUUAAAUGUUAAUGAGGAAGCUAUGGUAGUUCUGAAAAUAACGUUGAAGUUGAAAGUAGUUGAAAGAGACUUAAAUAAAAUGGUGGCUAUUCAAAAAUGUAUUUUGAAUAGACACCAUUGAUUUAUAAAUAGUAAUCUAUAGAUUACUACAAGAUAUUAAUUUUUUCUUAACUUCUUCUUGAACUCUACUUCUUCCAUAUUCUAAACACAUACCACAUAAAUCAUCAUAUUAUAUAUUUAUUUGCUGUUGUUCCAAAUUGUUGUAUUGAGUGUGCACUCUUAUAAUAAUUACAGUCAUUAUAUCCUGAGAACUAUCUGUCAACAACCUAUUUGCACCAAAAUACUAUUUUGAGGGACAGAAAUAGUCUUAAAGACAGUGCUCAGGACACCUUAACUUUUUUUUUUCUUUAAUUUUUUUUUUGGCAUCUUAUUUAUUAUCUUAAUUCUUCUACAAUAGUUUCAUAUAAUUCAAGUUUCCCAUGCUCACAGUACACGGUAGCUGCUAGCUAGUCCCACACACAACAGCCCCAUAUUGUAAAAGGGGUCCCAAACGACACUAAAAGUGUAAUAGCGAAAGUGGUCAUUUUCUUCCAUUGAUUUAUAUUGCACCAUACUGGACCAUUCUGCUGCUUGAACAAAUGUAUGAUUUUGUUGUCCUCAUGGAAGACAAUUCCCGAUACGGCAUGAAAGUUAAAUUUUUUUUUAAAAAAAAAAAAAAAGGGAAAAAAAUAUGUAUAAACAUUCAGAGAAACGGACCAAGGAUUUUUUUAUAAGUCCAAUAAUAAAAAAAAAAUUAAUUAAAUUAUGCUCAUUCUUAUCAUUGAGAUUAAGAUAAAUCUACCACUUUAAUCUUCUUUUUUUUUUUAUAGUUACAUACUAUUUGUUAUUCAUCAAAUGCAGACAACCGCUAAAUUACAUGUAGUCACCUAAUUCGGAAUAUAGCAGCCUAUAAAAUACUUGGGACUUAGGAGCUCAUAACUAUAAAUUGAACUUGUUGAAAAUUACAGAUGAUGUAACUUAACAAGACCCUCAAAUUUAUGAUAUAUUUAUAAAUUAAAAAUGUAUUUACUACAUUAUUUCCUCACCUACUUAAAUAGAUAACACAUUAUUUGGGAUGAAAAUUUUGAAUUAAACAUUACGUUUUGAGGCACUGCAUUUUCAUUAUCGCCCAGUUAUAUAUUCAAGGAGUAUUAAUUAUUGUAUGUUUGAAAAGCAGGAAUAUGAUUCCAAUGCAAAGGAAAACUUUCACUGUCAGUCUACUAAAGCAAAUGCCAUGGAAUUAGAGAAAAGAGCUAAAACUUUCAAUAAUAAUAAAAUAUUUAAUAAUAUUAUGAACAUCAGAAUCAUAAAAAUAUACAGUAAGAGUAAGAUUUUACGAGACAAGCCACAUAAAUCUUAUUUAUAGUAAUAGUGUGACGCUCCAUACACAAGCAAACAAAAGGACCCAAGUCAUUAUUCCCUUUAGUAAUUCCAAUUAAUUUUUUAUGACCUUAGUAUUCUCUACAAGCUGCAUGUGCAAAUCUCUCUCUAUAUAUAUUUGGCUAAUAAAAUAUGAUUAAAAGGUGAUAAUUAAUUUUAAUUACAUAUAAACAAACUUUGAAAGGGUCCUUUAUAAAGAAAAGAGAAUGUAAUUUUAAGGACACUUAGGUUUGCCCUUGGAGUUCUUGAGGUCCCUGUAGCAAGGGCACUCGUCCUUGUGCCCGUAAGUCCCAGAUGGAACACAAUGGCACUUGUCACAGCAAAUUCCACAGUACUUCAGGCACCUGUCUUCCCUUCCUGCUUUUGAGCACCUCACCGCACACUUUGAGUCGCAGAAAUCUGUCCCAAUAUUACAUGUGCAAUACGUAAUAAAAACAAAUGAAAGAUAUUACAAUAUCUUAAAUAAGUUAAGUAGGCUCACCUGAACCAG
rnacentral:lncRNA from 1 species